rnacentral:lncRNA from 1 species
CCCACCUGAAGCGAGAGAGGUAACUAUUGGAGAUGAGAGGGCAACGUGCUGGUUUCACAAGUCAUUUUCUUGCAAGUGAUAGAUCGAUGGACCACAGAUUGCCGGAGUUGGAGAUGAUAGGCCGCCGACGGUUUCAUGCCUCGCGCCUCGACCGCUUCUUCUUCAUACGGCAUGGAGCGUCCUUUUCCUCUAUGUUUGUUUAUCUUUUCUCGCAGCUAAAUUAGCCUCAACCUGGGAUAACAUUGCUGCGAACUGUGGUGCUCUCUGUAGUUAGCUUAGGGGAGAUGUAUAUGGACUGGACCUCUACGUAUAAACAUAGGAGCACAUAUGAUCCUUCCUGUGCAUGACGUUGGAGAUCAGACCCGCCGUUGUUGACGUCGUCGGGUCGUCUCCCAACCUUGCUGCAUUGGGCUUUCGCAUGUCGCGUGGUAUCCGGUCAUGUUUUCCUUUUUGUAAAUAUAUACUUGGUUCAAGACGAAUAAUAAUGGAUGUAAUGUAAGUGAAUUGUUUGAUUCGAUGUGGACACAAGGAACGGACGCGCGCGGUCAGGGUCUUUCUUUGCAAAUCAUGAGCUUUAUCGAUUACUUAGAAGUAAUAUAUUCGUUGGUGAUACAAUCACGGAGGGAAAAACGAAACAAGGGUCAUUUUCGAAGCAUUUUUUGUGAGAGACGAACUGAAUGAGAUAUGAAUAUUUUCCACGGUUCAAGAAAACGCAUAUUUUUUUAUGGACGCGACUAGCCAGUAACCGUUGGCUGGCUAGCGGUCCAGAGCACACACCCUAAUAUUGGUAGUGGACCUCUCCCAGAUCCAGCUGGCAAACCCAAAAAGGAAAGAAAUGGCCCCCUCACGCACAUGGCCCCCAGGGGCGAGUCUAUCACAAUCGUAACUUCAGCUCCCCCUACUGACAUUAGCAGUAGCCUCACGCCGACGCACCAAAUCCUCCUUCCCCUUUCCAGUCGCAGACCCCCAAACCUCCCCCUUGACCUCUCCUUCUCCAUCUGUCCUCUCUUCCAUUGUCACAAUUGUUGCCCCCGUUUUGGUGGCCAUGGACCUGAGGGGUGAGCUUCUAUCUUGAUGUGCCCUCUCAGACGCCUUCUCUUUUACAAAAGCCUGUGGAACGAAGGGUUUAUCAAUUAUAGAAUAUACAACAACAUGGCAGUUAAUGCUUGUGAAAUUGCAAAAAAGAACUACUGAGACAUUAUGCAUGCAAAAUAAUCUGUUUUUUAUGGGAAAGUUGGUAUGAUGUGCAGGCAACUCUGGAAUGAUUUCUAGGCAACUCAUGAUGGAAACACAGGGAAACCCCUCUCUUGAAAUUACUAUUCUAGUUUAAGCUUGGAUUUUUUGCAAGUAUCUGCAGAGUGUUGUAGGUUGCGCGAGGCUGUUGUUUUUUUGGUUGAUCUUCAAGCUUGUUAAGGCUUUUGGGAAAGUUGUGUAUAUGUGUAGGCAAUCAGGGAGAAAAUAAUGCAGGCAGCUCAUGUUUCUUGUGUUGUAGAAAAAUAAAUUAAGGAGAAAAGAGGUCUUGAAAGUUACAGGGUUUGGCUUUUAUUAGUGAAUUUUGGGGCAAAUGUCUCCUUGAACUAUAGGUUGCACAAUUGUAGUAGUAGCUGUUGUGUUUCGUUGUGAAUUUUGCUACUGGAUUUUGGGCAAUGUAUGUAUCUGGGAUUUGCUCUAACUGUAGCUGCUGUGUUGGUUGUGUUUCUAGCUGUUUACAUAUCUAGACAAGUUUCUAUAAUAUUUGGGCAAGUAGGGAAAGCUUUAUAGGCAACUCAUGUUUAUUUAGUUCUGUGAAUAAAAAGAAACAUAACCCUCUUGAAGUUAUGGUUUUAGCUUGUGCUUUGGAUUUUGGACAUGUAUCUCCUGGGGCUGAUGUGUAUGCAGGUGAAAAAGAGAUUGAUUUAUUGUCCACCCAUGCUCAAAACCCCAAUAAGCAAAAAAUAUAUAUAAAUGUUUGCACCUUUAUAUGGGUUUAUUCUAAGCAAAACUUGCAUAUAAAAUUCCAGCAAAAUUGACACAUAUUUUGCUCGCACAAUAUUUAUGUAACGAACCCACAUAUCGAAUCAGAAUGACCUAGCGUGUAGAGGAGGAAAAUAAAGAGAAGGUUUGAAUUUUUCUCACCUUGUUCAUCCUGAUUGCAACUAUUUUUCCAGUAUUUCCCCCUUGUUUCUUCCGGCAUGAGCAUCUAGUACACCACCAAUUGCGAGAAAACGGUAAAAAAGGAAUUAGUGAGCAACUAUAGCGGGUUUUUAAGCAAAUCAAGUAUUGACAAAAGGCUAGUCCUGCCAGUACAUGAAAAUUGUUUUGUUUUCCUUUGUCUAACUAUUGGAUGUUGUACAUCCAGAGAAACCCCUUGAUGCUUUUCUUAAGUUGCCUUUUAUACUAGGACUGUGUUGAGAAAACAAAAAAAUCUCCAAGCUCUAGGAUUUGUUUAAGCAAAGUCACUGUUGGCACUAAACUACUCUUGUAUGUUUGAAGCAACUCCACUUAUUUUGCUGAAACAAAAAAGUUGGAUAUCUUUCUGCGAAGCUUACUUGAAAGUGGGUGUUGAACCAUCUUGCUUGGGCGUGUGCACAAAACCUCAAAAAUGUUGCUUUGACUUUAGAAUUUAGUGAGGCCCUGUAAACAAAAAAAACAAUCUGUUUAGGCAAGAAUAUCGACAAAACCAUAUUUACAAAAACUUAGGUGAUUUAGGCAAGUACUAUUUAUAAGUAGACAACUUAUCCUGUUGGAAAACACAACUUUUGUGCAACUAAAAUCAUUUUUUUGCUAAAAAAUAUCUCUCGUCAACUCGUGCCACACUCUCUAGUAACAAACUAUCAUGCAUUGGGCAAGUUUUGGUGAAAUAAAACCCAAUGUUCUCGGUAGCGGAUCUUUGGGCAACUCACGCCAGCAUCUCUAGCAACUAACUAUCAUGCAUUGGGCAAGUUUGGACACAUUCGGCUCAAAUCAUUGACGAUUUCAGCCCCCGCAUCUCGGCAGUGGAUCAUUGUGCAACUCACACCAGCAUCUCUAGCAACUAACUAUCAUGUGUUGGGCAAGUUUUUGACACUUUCGGCUCAAAUCAUAGACGAUUCCAGCGCCCGCAUCUCGGGAGCGGAUCUUUGGCAACUUAUGCCGACAUUUCUAGCAACUAACGAUUAUGCGUUGGGCAAGUUUUUGAAACUUUUGGCUCAAGUCCGAGACGAUUCCAGCCCCCACAUAUCGAGAGCGGAUCUUUUGCAACUUACACAAGCAUCUCUAACAACUACCUAUCUUGCGUUGGGCAAGUUUUUUCGGCUAGAAUCAUCGAUGUUUCUAGCCCUCCAUCUUGGGACCGGAUCUUUGGGUGACUUAUGCAGGCAUCUAUAGCAACUAACUGUCAUGCGUUGGGCAAGUUUCAAAAACUUUCUGCUGAAAUCAUACAAGAUUCCAGCCCCCACAUCCCCAAGUCACAAACCACCGCCGCGCUCAAAAUCGUUGGUUUGCCCAUAAACAUGGGACCCCCACACCCCUCUUCAACCUCCCUAUUCCGCCUAUAUCACAUAGAAUUGUAUAUAUGAGUAGAAAAACACAUGCUUAGGGGGUCGAUUUCAAGAUACUUACGAGGAUUUGCGGGCUAGUUCCUCAACCACUCGAGAUAACGCUUUCCCAGAUCUAACUCCACCACACUAGGUGGCCGUGACGCACAGAUGGCACUGCCCCCUUGUCUCUAGAAGAAAGCAUGUUUCCUGGCUAGAUCAAUGCCCAAAAAUGUUAUAGAUUGACUAGAAGAAAGCAUGUUUUGUGGCUGCUGACUUUCUCGGUCUAGAGUACAGUCUGUAGCUUCUUACUUUUGCUCGCUUAUUGAUGUACUAAUGGUUAACAGAAGUGUCGAUAGGGGACUUGGAAGCAGCUACAACUAGGGAAGGAGAACUAGUGAAUUGAUCAAACAGAUGGAACUGUGAAUGCACACAUCAAAGCAAUAUCCUGUUGUUAACUGCAUCGUGUGUGUGGCAUCAGUGACUACUGUAAGACAAAUAAUUUUUCAUUCAGAUGCAGUGUUGAUUUUCCUGGGAGAGUUUAGUUUUAUGUGUACUAAAAAUAGUAAAACAAUAAUGCUAUAUCCUAAUGCUUUAUUAAAUCAAUGUGAUUUUGGCGGCAUUAUUCAGCAAGCACUGAUGUGCUUCUACUUGUACACAUAUCUUGUACUAUAAGAAGUUUAGAACCGAUGGAGUUGUAACUGUAUAAACCAUCCAAGUAGGUUGAACUAAUGUGUUCUUGUACAAUUUUCAAUCUAGCUGACAUGGAUACCAUAUUCAGUAGAAAUAUUUAACUAGGCAAAGCAUACCAUAUUCAAAGUUGCUUUAUCCUAUUUGUAGAGUUGCUCUAUCCGCACUGACCCCUUUUUGUGUUGCUCUUUUCAGAAGCAGGAUGAUGCAGGUGAUGUCUUUGCUCUAUGGGAAAGAACCGAUCGUCGCGUACAACUAUGCAACUUUUGAUCCACUACUAGGCAACUCUUUAUGAUAUCUUAUGCAACUCCAGUGACAAAAAAACACCCCUGGUAGCUUGUGAAACUUCUAGUCCAGUAUUUAGGCAACUACUAAUGCCAUUUUUUGGAAGAUCCUGGAACACUUAUAAAAAUGUUACUGGGCAACUCCACUGGAUAAACGAAAAUACAUAAUAAAUCUGGGCACUUUUGGUCCACCUUCGUCUUCCCCACAUGCUUCAUCUCUCUCGCCUCGUCGUCCACUACCUUCGUCUUUCCCCACGCAACCUAUCUCACACCUCACUGCCCUCCACCUACAUAGACUGUCCGAGAACGAGACACUAAGAUACGGACAAAGCCGGGACAGAAAUGCCGUUAGCCAGGACUGGACAUCCCCAAUACUGGCCCACACGCAGAGGAGACAAGGUCAAGGGGGCCCACCAGUGACGACCAUCACCACGGCACGGGCCAAUUGACCGUCACGGACACCUGGGAAGCAGGUUUCCACGAGCCAGAUCCAGCCGACGAGGAACCCCAAGACCCGUUGCCGACAAACCCUAACUCCCCCAACGGACAACCGAGACGUCGUCGGGUCCCUGCGCGCCACCACACGGACACCGUAGGCAAUGUCAGUGCACUUGAGUUGGAAAUAAAAAAUUCAGCAUUUUUUGGUGUUUUUGUGCAAAUCAAGUGCAUUCACCGGGAAACUCAUGUGUAGUCCCAACCUGACUUGGUACACCGACAAAGCAGCCAUAUAUAGAAGAAAAAACUAAAUUCACCAAGUCAGGCCUAUUGGUGGGAUACCAAACUUUGUGAUCAAUAUGCACUUAACGCCCUUGUCUAAAACAAGAAGGGGAAAAAGCAGGCAACUCCCCUGCUUGAUUGUAGGCAACUCUGAUUAUUUCUCAAAAAAACAACUUUGAUUUUGAUUGUAGGCAAGUCUAAAAUUAAAAUACUGUAGACUUGAUCUAUUAGUUAUUUAGGACAAAAGAAUGUAGACUUGAUCUAUUAGUUAUUUUGAUUAAAGGCAACAUAGUCAAUAGUAGUAUAAUUUUAUAAGUCAUUGAUCUCGGCAUUGACGAAUUUUAUGAGUACACAAUCACUAAAGCAAAAAAAUCUGAACCUGUCAGGCAACUAAGUAACCGAAACAAUGUGUACAAUACUUUAGGAUUCAUUAUGUGAGUUAUUUUGAGGCAACUACCUACAAUGUGUGGGCAAGUUUUGGCAAAAACUCACGCAACUAAGUAACAAAUGACACUGGAUUUUGCAAUCGUUUCCUGGCAUUGCUGUGACAUAAAUCUUACCGAGACAUUGCUGUGAUUUUAUCCCCUUUCCCCCAUAAAUUAUCCUGUAAGCUCUUUCUAAUACCGAGAUGCUCAGAUUCCCAGAUUAUUCAAGAAAAAAAGAGGAUCCUCUAACUAACCAUGCCACUGCGCCAGUUACUACGAGAAACCCAGCAUUCCUUUUCUGAAAUUAAAAGGAGAGCAAAGGUUACUACUAUUACCAUGUCACAUAGCUUCCACUAGAGUUCCAGUGACACACGAGGAAGACGGGGUACUCACGAAGACAAGGGGCCCGCCAAGCUAGCAGAGAAUAUGAGCUGCACGAGCGCGACAGCCUCCGGCGGCCAGCCAUAGUUUGACCUCGGCCCCUCUGAAAUCAGCAUGCUCCCACACCCCCUGUGAGGCCAAUAAGAGCUAGAUUCGAGUGGAAUAAAACACACCUGUGCGGGAAUCAACGAUGCUUACCCGUGAUUUGAGGCCCGAUUCCUCGACCGCUGAAGAUGGCACUUCUGGCUCUCACACUUCGCCGCUAGGAGUCGAGCUGCACAGACGCGCGGUGUCCCUCCCAUUCAAACCCUCGCUUCGUGGACGCGGUGGCAGAGAAGCGGCGGCCCCGGACGCCAGCCUUCUGCCUCCGCUUGGUGGUCACCGCACGCGGAGCUCAGGCCCCUCUAUCCUGGGUCGCCGAUUGGGUUGGGUUCUCUCCUCCCACUUCUAUAAUGCCUUCCCAAUCUCCGACGAACCUCUGGCAGCGCGCCUCGAAAUGAUGAAGCGGCGGUGGAUUUGGGCGAGGGGAUGAGGGGACCGCGGUGGUGGAUUUGGGAAAGGGUAAAGGAGAGUGGAGAGAGGCUGGGGGUUGUGGUGGGCCCCUGCAACCGGGGAGACAAUCUCUUCGCACGAACCACGUCCACGCCCCGACCGUGGAACACAUGGAUAUCAUGAUUUCGAUCCGACGAUCGCGGAGGGUGUGUGCUCGAGAUAGCUAAAAAGUGCAGCUGCACUUUUUAGCAUUUAGAUGCGACUAGCCAGCAACCGUUGGCUGGCUAGCGGUCCAGAGCACACACCCUAAUAUUGGUAGUGGACCUCUCCUAGAUCCAGCUGGCAAACCUAAAAAGGAAAGAAAUGGCCCCCUCACGCACAUGGCCCCCAGGGGCGAGUCUGUCACAAUCGCAACUUCAGCUCCCCUACUGACAUUAGCAUUAGCCUCACGCCGACGCACCAAAUCCUCCUUCCCCUUUCCAGUCGCAGACCCCCAAACCUCCCCUUGACCUCCCCUUCUCCAUCUGUCCUCUCUUCCAUUGCCACAACUGUUGCCCCCGUUUUGGUGGCCAUGGACCUGAGAGGCGAGCUUCUAUCUUGAUGUGCCCUCUCAGGCGCCUUCUCUUUUACAAAAGCAUGUGGAACGAAGGGUUUAUCAAUUAUAGAAUAUACAACAACAUGGCAGUUAAUGCUUGUGAAAUUGCAAAAAAGAACUACUGAGACAUUAUGCAUGCAAAAUAAUCUGUAUUUUAUGGGCAAGUUGGUAUGAUGUGCAGGCAACUCUGGAAUGAUUUCUAGGCAACUCAUGCUAGAAACACAGGGAACCCCUCUCUUGAAAUUACUAUUAUAGUUUAAGCUUGGAUUUUUUGCAAGUAUCUGCAGAGUGUUGUAGGUUGCGCGAGGCUGUUGUUUUUUUGGUUGAUCUUCAAGCUUGUUAAGGCUUUUGGGAAAGUUGUGUAUAUGUGUAGGCAAUCAGGGAGAAAAUAAUGCAGGCAACUCAUGUUUCUUGUGUUGUAGAAAAAUAAAUUAAGGAGAAAAGAGGUCUUGAAAGUUAUAGGGUUUGGCUUUUAUUAGUGAAUUUUGGGGCAAAUGUCUCCUUGAACUACAGGUUGCGCAAUUGUAGUAGUAGCUGCUGUGUUUCAUUGUUGCUACUGGAUUUUGGGCAAUGUAUGUAUCUGGGAUUUGCUCUAACUGUAGCUGCUGUGUUGGUUGUGUUUGUAGCUGUUUACAUAUAUAGACAAGUUUCUAUAAUAUUUGGGCAAGUAGGGAAUGAUUUAGAGGCAACUCAUGUUUAUUUAGUUCUGUGAAUAAAAAGAAACAUAACCCUCUUGAAGUUAUGGUUUUAGCUUGUGCUUUGGAUUUUGGACAGGUAUCUCCUAGGCUGAUGUGUAUGCAGGUGAAAAAAGAGAUUGCUAUAUUGUCCACCCAUGCUCAAAACCCCAAUAAGCAAAAAAUAUAUAUAUAUGUUUGCACCUUUAUAUGGGUUUCUUCUAAGCAAAACUUGCAUAUACAAUUCAGGCAAAAUUGACCCAUAUUUUGCUUGCACAAUAUUUAACUAACCAACCCACAUAUCGAAUCAGAAUGACCUAGCGUGUAGAGGAGGAAAAUAAAGAGAAGGUUUGAAUUUUUCUCACCUUGUUCAUCCUGAUUGCAACUAUUUUUCUAGUAUUUUCCCCUUGUUUCUUCCGGCCUGAACAUCUAGUAUGGAUUUUACUACACCAACUGCAAGAAAACGGUAAAAAAGGAAUUAGUGAGCAACUAUAGCAGGUUUUUAAGCAAAUCAAGUAUUGACAAAAAUCUAGUCCUGCCAGUAUAUGAAAAUUGUUUUGUUUUCCUUUGUCUAACUACUGGCUGUUGUACAUCCAGAGAAACCCCUUGAUGCUUUUCCUAAGUUGCCUUUUAUACUAGGAGUGUGUUGAGGAAAUAAAAAAAUCUCCAAGCUCUAGGAGUUUUUAAGCGAAGUCACUGUUGCCAGUAAGCUACUCUUGUAUGUUUGAAGCAAUUCCACUUAUUUUGCUGAAACAAAAAAGUUGGAUAUCUUUCUGCGAAGCUUACCUGAAAGUGGGUGUUGAACCUUCUUGCUUGGGCGUGUGCAGAAAACCUCAAAAAUGUUUCUUUGACUUUAGAAUUUAGUGAGGCCCCGUAAACAAAACAAACAAUCUGUUUAGGCAAGAAUAUCGACAAAACCAUAUUUAUGAAAACUUACGUGAUUUAGGAAAGUACUAUUUAUAAGUAGAAAACUUAUCCUGUUGGACAACACAACUUUUGUGCAACUAAAAUCAUUUUUUGCCAAAAAAAUAUCUCUGGGAAACUCGUGCCAUCCUCUCUAGUAACAAACUAUCAUGCAUUGGGCAAGUUUUGGUGAAAUAAAACCCAAUGUUCUCGGUAGCGAAUCUUUGGGCAACUCACGCCAGCAUCUCUAGAAACUAACUAUCAUGCGUUGGGAAAGUUUGGACACAUUCGGCUCAAAUCAUUGACGAUUUCAGCCCCCGCAUCUCGGCAGUGGAUCAUUGUGCAAAUUACACCAGCAUCUCUAGCAACUAACUAUCAUGUGUUGGGCAAGUUUUUGACACUUUCGGCUCAAAUCAUAGACGAUUCCAGCGCCCGCAUCUCAGGAGCGGAUCUUUGGUAACUUAUGUCGGUAUUUCUAGCAACUAACUAUCUUGCGUUGGGCAAGGUUUGGACACUUUUGGCUCAAGUCUCAGACGAUUCCAGCCCCCACAUAUCGGGAGCGGAUCGUUGGCAACUUUCACAAGCAUCUCUAACAACUACCUAUCUUGCGUUGGGCAAGUUUUUUCGGCUCGAAUCAUCGACGUUUCUAGCCCCCAUCUUGGGACCGGAUCUUCGGGUGACUUAUGCCGGCAUCUAUAGCAACUAACUAUCAUGCGUUGGGAAAGUUUGAAAAACUUUCUGCUGAAAUCAUACAAGAUUCCAACCCCCACAUCCCCAAGUCACAAACCACCGCCGCACUCAAAAUCGUCGGUUAGCCCAUAAACAUGGGACCCCCACACCCCUAUUCAACCUCCCUAUUCCUGCCUAUAUCACAUAGAAUUGUAUAUAUGAGUAGAAAAACACAUGCUUAGGGGGUCGAUUUCAAGAUACUUACGAGGAUUUGCGGGCUAGUUCCUCGACCACUCGAGAUAACACUUUCCCAGAUCUAACUCCACCCCACUAGGUGGUCGUGACGCACAGAUGGCACUGCCCCCUUGGCUCUAGAAGAAAGCAUGUUUUCUGGCUAGAUCAGUGCCCAAAAAUGUUAUAGAUUGACUAGAAGAAAGCAUGUUUUGUGGCUGCUGACUUUCUUGGUCUAGAGUACAAUCUGCAGCUUCUUACUUUUGCUCGCUUAUUGAUGUAUUAAUGGUUAACAGAAGUGUCGAUAGGGGAAUUGGAAGCAGCUACAACUAGGCAAGGAGAACUAGUGAAUUGAUCAAACAGAUGGAACUGUGAGUGCACACAUCAAAGCAAUAUCCAGUUGUUAACUACAUCAUGUGUGUGGCAUCAGCGACUACUGUAAGAAAAAGAAUUUUUCAUUCAGAUGCAGUGUUGAUUUCCCCUGGGACAGUUUAGUUUUAUGUGUACUAAAAAUAGCAUAACAAUAAUGCUAUGUCCUAAUGCUUUAUUAAAUCAAUGUGAUUUUGGCGGCCUUAUUUAGCAAGCACUGAUGUGCUUCUGCUUGUACACAUAUCUUGUACUAUAAGAAGUUUAGAACUGAUGGAGCUGUAACUGUAUAAACCAUCCAAGUAGGCUGAACUAAUGUGUUCCUGUACAAGUUUCAAUCUAGCUGACAUGGAUACCAUAUUCAGUAGAAAUAUUUAACUAGGAAGAUAGGCAUACCAUAUUCAAAGUUGAUUUAUCCUAUUUGCAGAGUUGCUCUAUCCCCACUGACCCCUUUUUGUGUUGCUCUUUUCAGAAGUAGGAUGAUGCAGGUGAUGCCUUUGCUCUAUGGGAAAGAACCGAUCGUCGCGUACAACUAUGCAACUUUUGAUCCACUACUAGGCAACUCUUUAUGAUAUCUUAUGCAACUCUAGUGACAAAAAACACCCCUGGUAGCUUGUGAAACUUCUAGUCCAGUAUUUAGGCAACUACUAAUGCCAUUUUUGGAAGAUCCUGUCGCAGAGAACACUUAUAAAAAUAUUACUGGGCAACUCCACUGGAUAAACGAAAAUACAUAAUAAAUCUGGGCACUUUUGGUAAACCUUCAUCUUCCCCACAUGCUUCAUCUCUCUCGCCUCGUCGCCCACUACCUUCGUCUUUCCCCACGCACCCUAUCUCACAGCUCGCUGCCCUCCUGUCGGUGUCAAAACCGGCGGAUCUCGGGUAGGGGGUCCCGAUCUAUGCGUCUUAGGCUGAUGGUAACAGGAAGCAAGGGACACAAUGUUUACCCAGGUUUGGGCCCUCUCGAUGGAUGUAAAACCCUACUUCCUGCUUGAUUAAUAUUGAAGAUAUGUGGAAUACAAGAAUAGAUCUACCACGAGAUCGUAGAGGCUAAACCCUAAGAGCUAGCCUAUGAUGGUAUGAUUGUAAUUGUGAUCGGCCUUCUAAGGACCAUGCUCUCCGGUUUAUAUAGACACCGGAGAGCUAGGGUUUACAUGGAGUCGGUUACAAGGAAGGAAAUAUAAUAUCCAGAUCGCCAAGCUUGUCUUCCACGCAAAGGAGAGUCCCAUCCGGACACGAGCCGAAGUCUCGAGUCUUGUAUCUUGAUGCUUCUAUAGUCCGGACGAUGAAUAUAGUCCGGCUGUCCGGAUACCCCCUUAUCCAGGACUCCCUCAGUAGCCCCUGAACCAGGCUUGAAUGACGAUGAGUCCGGCGCCCAGUCUUGUCUUCGGCAUUGCAAGGCGGGUUCCUCCUCUGAAUACUCCAAGAUGGUCAUCGAACACAUAAACCGUGUCCGGAUCUACAAGAUGAUCUUCACAUACCCUUAGCAUAAAUCUGUUCUACUGGCAAUCUUCGUACGUCGUGCCUUUGCAUCGUGGCCUGGUCCAACACGAACCAACGUUUCCUGCUCCACCUCGACUCGCGUUGCGAGGCGGUUUUAUCGGCAUGUCCUGCCAAAGCAGAGAUCGUGUCCCCCUUAAUACGGGAUCUUUCAUCAAUAUGGGCAUAUGUGACCCCAUGGCGACCGUUGGUAUAAUUCUGUGUAUUUUAGAUAAGUCUCAAGCGGUCACGCUGAGGACUCUUAGUAUUCAUCCCUUUUAUAAAGGGGUCAAGGCCUACGCCUCGUUUCCACCUCUCCUGCUCCCUCUCGCACCUCGAGCUCCAUCGCCCAAAACCUAAGCUCCAACACCCCAGAUCCUCCAGUAUGUCCGGAUCCGACGUAGCAGGCCGGUGGGUGGCCUCCUCGAUUCAGGAGGAGGAUAUCGCGAAGCUUAGGGAGGUCGGAUACCUGACUGCUGAUAUCCAACACAGGCUUCCUGCUCCGGGGCAAGUCAUCUCCAUGCCGGAGCCCAAUGAGAGCGUCGUGUUUACUCCUCACUUCCUCCGAGGCCUAGGCCUCACCCUCGACCCCUUUGUGAGGGGGCUCAUGUUCUACUAUGGCUUGGAUUUCCAUGAUCUGGCUCCAGACGCCAUCCUCCAUAUCUCGUCUUUCAUUAUUGUGUGCGAGGCUUUUCUCCACGUCAACCCACACUUCGGCUUAUGGCUAAAGACCUUCAAUGUGAAGCUGAAGAUGAUCGAGGGGCGACAUGCGGAGUGCAGAGGUGCCAUAAUAAGCAGGAACACUGGGGCCCCAUGGCCAAGGGGUUCUUUUCCAGAAGUAUCGGACGUAUGGCAACAGAGAUGGUUCUAUGUCACCGCUCCUAGAGGCACAAAGUGGGUAGCUACCCCCGAGUUCCGCUCAGGCCCCCCAUCACAGUUGGUGUCUUGGACCGAUGUGGGACGGAAUUACGGGCCUGCUGGCGAUGUACCAGAACUGCAGAAUCACAUCCGAGAGCUUAUUAGGAGGGACAUAAAUCUUGUCAGCAUAAUUCAAGUAAUGCUAGUCCAGCGAAUGUUGCCGUGCAAACAUCGGCCUCUCCGUAUGUGGGAGUUUAAUCCGGAGGGUCUGCGGACUAUUAAGCACUUCUUCGGCCUGACGCUCGAAGGAAUGUGUAAAUUAUUCUUCGGACCACCAGCAAAGUGUCCGGACACCACAAAGGAUGCGGGCCUAAGCUGCAAUCGCCUAGAUGCCCAAGUAAGUAACCUUGAAGCCUGGACACUUCAUUUAUAUUUAUCAUAACCAUUAUUCUGAAAAUCCUUCCGUGGCCAAGAAUGGCUCAAUAAGGCGGAGAGAAUCAGGUGUCCGGUGCCACUUCCCGAAGGCUCGCCUGGUCCCACUAUUGCAAAGAUGCUGGGCCAGGCGCUCAGCAAAAUCCCUUCAGGGAAAGGCGAAGGAAAGGGCAGUGAAGCCAAACUUCACGCGAUACGCAUCCAGACCGGGGAAAUCGCUACCCAUCCUAUGGAGGAUAGCAGGAAAGGGGAGGCCAAAGCCUCCUCCCCACGCGGGAAGAAGAGGGCCGCGUGCGAAGACUUGGAGGCGGAGACGCCCAAGCAAGGGAAGAAAACAUCACCAGAGGGCUCUGCCGCGACGGGCAUCCUCACCGCGUCAUGCCCACCCACGGGCCAGCCCUCCACCGAGCCGUAAGUUAUUUAUUAAUUCGAAGGUGUAAUGUUACUCCGAGAUCCAUAACCAGGACAUCGUCUUUUGUAGUCCGGCGAGCAGCUCUUCUCAACAGAGUUCGUCUUCGGGGGACCUUCGUCCGAAGAUGAUGGAGAGUGAGACUCCACCCAACUCUCCGCCUCAUGAAGCGGGCGACACAGAGGUGUCAUCACGGAGGAGUCCAGAUCUGCCGAAGCCGGAGGCUAACACGUCAGCCGCCCUGAGCCUGGAGCGUUUGGCUCCUACGGGGGGCGAUGAGAAGGGUCCGUCGCAGUUUAGUGUCCGACCGGACGUACUGACGGACCGUCUGGAGCGAGCCGCGCUCUCGGAGGAGCAUGCUCUUUAAUGAGCACGGUGCUCACGAAGAUUUCAUCCGCUACCAGCGGUUUGAAUGAGGCAUUUACAAGCCUACUCAAAGGCUUUGAGGUAUGUAGUGAAAAAUGCACAACCUUUUGGUUAUGAAGCACACGCUAGGUGUGCUCCCUAUAGAUAGUAGCCCCUGAGACUCUGGUUGCCUGCCAUAGACGGCAAACGGGGGAUCAUAUACUAAUGGCUGCGCCGUACAUGUGCGCAUGUAUACAAGGAUCCGGCAGCCGACCAGUCUGUUGAAGUUGCCGAACUAAGGAGGCAAAUCGGAUCCAUCGAUGCCGAUAUCACGCUGGUGAAUAAACGGCUUGAGGAGUCACAUGGUAUGUGCUUGGUUUUUAUUAUAAUGUAUAGGAAAUGCCAAAGGGGCAUAAUAUUAAGGCAAUAUGUUUGCACUACAGAUGGUGCUGCUGCCAUGGAGGCCCUGAGGGCGGCUCAAGCCAAGGAACAAGCUCGGGCUAGCAAUGCGGCUGCCCUAAAGGCGGCCGAAGAAUUGAGAGCCGAACAGGCUGCUCAUCGCCGAAGCGAGGAAAAGAUGGCCGAAAUGGCUGGGGAGUUAAAAAAUGCCGCCGACCGGUACGCACUCCUGGAAAAGGAGAAUAAGGCUAGUUCGGCCGAGUUGGACAAGACACGUAAUGCCGCCAAGGAGAUGCGGACCAAGAUCCGGAGUAUGCGGGAGGAGCUCCAACAGGCUGACAAAAUCGUGGCUGGGGGCUCGUACUUACUGCGGACGUAGUUCUUGGAUCCGAAGUAUGCUCCCCUGGCGGGUCGCAUGAGUCCUGUAGACGCAUAUGCGGACUUGGCGAAUAGUACAGCUGACGCUGUCAGGUUCUUCGAGGGUCAAGGUGAUGAAGAAGUGGAGAAGCUUUUCCGGUCGCAGUUCAAUGCUCCCACUCGCCCGCUGCCACUGAAUGAGAAGGUGGCUGCUAUGGCGGAGCUCCACAGGCUGUCCGGACUUGCAAUGCGGUCUGUAAUAGACCAUCUUUGACCGAAGGGGCCUAAGCCAGACAGCUACUUUGGUUUGGUGCAGCAAUUCCUUGGAGCCGUGUCCCGGAUUGACGCCAUGAGGAGGUCGGCAUGCAUAGAGGGUGCGCGGAUGGCUCUGAUACGUCUCCAACGUAUCUAUAAUUUUUUAUUGCUCCAUGCUACUUUAUCUACUGUUUUGGACUAUAUUGGGCUUUAUUUUCCACUUUUAUAUUAUUUUUGGGACUAACCUAUUAACCGGAGGCCCAGCCCAGAAUUGCUGUUUUUUGCCUAUUUCAGUGUUUCGAAGAAACAGAAUAUCAAACGGAGUCCAAACGGAAUGAAACCUUCGGGAACGUGAUUUUCUCACCGAACAUGAUCCAGGAGACUUGGACCCUGCUCCAAGGAACAACCAACGCAGCCACGAGGGUGGGGGGCGCGCCCUCCCCCCUGGCACGCCCCCCUACCUUGUGGGCCCCCUGUUGCUCCACCGAUGUACUCCUUCCUCCUAUAUAUACCUACAUAACCCCGACAGAUCAAAUACGGAGCCAAAAACCUAAUUCCACCACCGCAACCUUCUAUAUCCACGAGAUCCCAUCUUGGGGCCUGUUCCGGAGCUCCGCCGGAGGGGGCAUCCACCACGGAGGGCUUGUACAUCAACACCAUAGCUUCUCCGAUGAAGUGUGAGUAGUUUACUCAGACCUUCGGGUCCAUAGUUAGUAGCUAGAUGGCUUCUUCUCUCUUUUUGGAUCUCAAUACAAUGUUCUCCCCCUCUCUUGUGGAGAUCUGUUCGAUGUAAUCUUCUUUUUGCGGUGUGUUUGUUGAGACCGAUGAAUUGUGGGUUUAUGAGCCAGCUUAUCUAUGAAUAAUAUUUGAAUCUUCUCUGAAUUCUUUUAUGUAUGAUUGAGUUAUCUUUGCAAGUCUCUUUGAAUUAUCCAUUUGGUUUGGCCAACUAGAUUGGUAGUUCUUGCAAUGGGAGAAGUGCUUAGCUUUGGGUUCAAUCUUGCAGUGUCCUUUCCCAGUGACAGUAGGGGCAGCAAGGCACGUAUUGUAUUGUUGCCAUCGAGGAUAACAAGAUGGUUUUUUUUAUCAUAUUGCAUGAAUUUAUCCCUCUACAUCAUGUCAUCUUGCUUAAGGCGUUACUCUGUUUUUAACUUAAUACUCUAGAUGCAUGCUGGAUAGCGGUCGAUGAGUGGAGUAAUAGUAGUAGAUGCAGAAUCAUUUUGGUUUACUUGUCUCGGACAUGAUGCCUAUACACAUGAUCAUACCUAGAUAUACUCAUAACUAUGCUCAAUUCUAUCAAUUGCUCAACAGUAAUUUGUUCACCCACCGUAGAAUACUUAUGCUCUUGAGAGAAGCCACUAGUGAAACCUAUGGCCCCCGGGUCUAUUCUCAUCAUAUCAAUCUCCAUUACACUAAUACUUGUUUUGUUUUUACUUUGCCUUUUACUUUUCACUUUGCAUCUCUAUAUCAAAAAUACCAAAAAUAUUAUUUAUCAUCUCUAUCAGAUCUCACCCUCGUAAGUGACCAUGAAGGGAUGGACAACCCCUAAUUGCGUUGGUUGCGAGUAGCUAUCGUUUUGUGCAGGUACGAGGGACUCGUGCGUGAUCUCCUACUGGAUUGAUACCUUGGUUCUCAAAAACUGAGGGAAAUACUUAUGCUACUUUACUGCAUCAUCCUCUCCUCUUCGGGGAAAUCCAAUGCUGUGCUCAAGAGGUAGCAGGCUCUAGCCCAUGUUAAAUUCUAUUGGACGGAUAUGGAGGCCACUAUAAUAGGGAGCCAGGAUCCGGCGGGAGGCCAACAUCCGGCCGAGCACUACUUGGUGCAAGUCACAGAAGGUGCCCACCUGAUAGAGGCGUAGUGCUCGAAGAGUGUUUUAUUCGAGUGAUAAGUCGAAUCAUUGUAGAAAACAAUGUUUAGUUUAAUUAUGAGGCUAUGUUUAUACUUUUGCCCGGAAGUAUGAUUGUGCCCCCUUUGCGGCCGUUCUUAUAUGUAUAAGUAGUCCGAAAGAUAGCAGUCGUUGGCUUCAGCCCCCACACAGACGAUGCGGGGGUGUUCAUGAAGAAAUAUGCAUAAUCACACUUGAUCCAACGUCUUGGUCCGUUAAGGAGGUGAUCGCACGCUGAACUAGGCAACCGGACUAUAUAGCUGUAACACUUUCGCUUAGCAUGGGAGUCGAAUGGUGGGGCUACUAUGUAGCCCCUGGUGCAUGCCCGCGCAUCCGAAUACGGGUGCGUGUGUACACGGCCGGGAAACGUCCCUUCGUUAAUGCGGAGGAAUCUUUAGGGAUUCCGGUGAGUCUUCAAGUGGUUGAACAGUCUCUCGCUGUAUCAUGACAAUCAGUUUCCGGCUUUCUCUACUGAGGCGCUCAUCCGGAAUAACCAGGGCACAAUCGCAGUAGUUCUCCUUUGGCCUGCCUUAGCCAGAUGAUAGCGGAACGUAAGGCGGCAAACCCAAGAGCCGGGAAAACCCAACAUUUGACCAAAGACAUGAUUCGGAGCUGAUGCAUAUACGGCCAAACUCAUGAUGCCGAACACUCCCGAGGGUAUUCGGUCUUUUGUAAAAUAAGAUAGGCUGACAAGAGCCUAUUAUAAACCCUUUAUUUCUAGGUAUGUGCAAUUUAGUCUGCCGUGGCCAAAUGCCAAAAACGGAAGUAUCCUCUGUGGGUAAAGAACCCAUGGGAUGGUUAAACAAAAAGAGGCAGUAGAAAAGGUUUACAUAGGGGCUUAAUCUAAAAAGAAAUCUGUUGCACGGGGCCCUGCUGCACGUGUGCGCCUUUGUCUCUGUUGUGCCGUAUCCUGGAAGGGUAUCGCGCGAACGUUGUCCGUAAAAAAAAGAAAAACUCGUAGGAGGGUGCAACGUGAGUAUGCGAUUAAUAAUAAAAGUGUGAGAUGUUGGCCUGCCAAUAAGGUCGAGCCAAGCGUGGGGCUGUAUUAAAUAUAGGCAGCCCCUGGUUUCCGUUAUGGGAUUACAUAUACGGUGCCCUGUUUGAAUUUUAUCCGGGCUACCGGACUCGUCUAACCGUGUCUGUGGUCGUAAUGACCAGUUAUGUUUUCUAAUACUGGAGGCCACUUAUAGUCCGGCCGCCAGGGCCGUCGCGUGUUCCUCUACGCGUGAAGGGCGCUCUAUGAUUCCGCUAACGGUGAUGAUGCCACGGGGACCGGGCAUCUUGAGUGUAAGGUGGCCAUAGUGCGGCAGUGCGUUAAAGCGAGCGAAGGCCGUUCUUCCUAGCAAUGCGUGAUAGCUGCUUUGGAAGGGUGCGACAGUGAAGAGCAGCUCUUCGCUUCUGGAGUUGCCUGGGGAGCCGAAUGUUACUUCCAGCACGACUGAGCCCCUGGCACAGACUUCAACGCCUGGUAUCACCCCUUCAAAGGUGGUGUUGCUUUGUCUAAUUCUGGAUGGGUCUAUCCCCAUUUUGCGGACAGUGUCCUCGUAUAUUAAAUUGAGACCACCGCCGCUGUCCAUGAGGACACGGGUGAGACGGUAUCCGUCGAUUAUUGGGUCAAGCACCAAGGCCUGUGUUCCUCCUCCCCGAAUUGUAGUUCGACCGUCCAUGUGAUCGAAAGUGAUCGGAUGAGACAUCCAGUAGUGAGAUGUGGGUACGACGGGCUCUACAUCGUGCGCUUCUAUGGGUGCGCGUUCAUGCCUUCUCGUGGAUGUGUGAGUCGCCUGAAUCAUGUUUACUAUUUUAACCUCUAGCGAGAAUUUUUUCUGUCCCCCAGUGUUCGGCUGGUGAGGUUCAUCCUCGUCUUCGCUUGGUGUGUCCCUCCCCUUGUGUUCGGCAUUUAAUUUGUUGGCCUACUUGAAGACCCAACACUCUCUAUGGGUGUGGUUCGCAGGUUUCCCGGGGGUGCCAUGAAUUUGGCACAGUCUGUCCAGGACUCUGUUCAGACCGGACGGUCCAUCUUUACUGCCUUUGAAUGACUUCUUUUGCUGAUCAGGUCGAGAGCCCCUGAAUCCGGCAUUGACCAUCGUGCUGUCCGGGCUCUCUUCCUUGUUUUGGCGUUUGUUUUUAUUACGCCGUGGCUUCCCGUUGCCAUCCCUUAUUUCGGAUGUGCUGGGGUCGCUGGUGCCUUUACGGGCCAGCCAGCUAUCCUCACCCGCGCAGAAGCAGGUCAUAAGGCUUGUUAAGGCUGCCAUUGUCCUUGGCUUUUCUUGUCCGAGGUGUCGGGCGAGCCAUUCAUCACAGAUGCUGUGUUUGAAAGCCGCUAAGGCUUCGGCGUCCGGACAUUCAACAAUUUGAUUCUUCUUAGUGAGGAAUCUGUUCCAAAGCUUGCGGGCGGACUCUCCGGGCUGUUGGAUUAUGUGACUUAGAUCGUCUGCAUCUGGAGGCCGGACAUAAGUCCGUUGAAAAUUGGCCCUGAAAGCGUCUUCGAGUUCCUCCCAACUCCCAAUUGAGUUUUCGGGGAGGCUUUUCAACCAAUGUCGAGCUGGUCCCUUCAGCUUGAGGGGAAGGUAUUUUAUGGCGUGGAGGUCAUCCCCAUGAGCCAUGUGAAUAUGCAGGAUAAAAUCCUCGAUCCAGACCCCUGGGUCUAUCGUGCCGUCGUAUGCCUCUAUGGUCAUAGGUUUAAAACCUUGUGGGAAUUCAUGGUGUAGUACUUCUUCGGUGAAGCACAGGGGGUGAGCAACCCCUUUGUAUCUGGGCGUGUUGUGGCAUGUAGUCAGCUGUUGUUGUGUCCGGAGUUGAUUCCGAACUGGUAUCUGGCUUGUAUGAGUGUUUGGGUGACCAUAGUCCUUCGCUGGGGUGUGUCUUCUAGAUCCAUUUAUCCGGAUGCUCGCGUGGGUCGUGCGCAGUGUCCGCAGCCGCUCUGUUAUGGUUGUGAAGCGGUACGUCUGGUUUCUUGGUGUCGGUGUACUAGAGUAGGGGUACCCUAGUAUCACGAACUUGUGCACGGGCAGUUGUAGCACCCCGCGGCAAGGCUUGCCGGGUGACCGCCAAGGUCCUCCGUGGUCCCUUUGGAGCCAUUCAAGAACAAAGUAUUCAAGCCAAGGAGACAAGGCCCCGGCAAGAGGAGCUUGCCGGGAAGGCCAACCAAGGCAUCGCAAGGAACUUGCCGCGACACGCCGCACGUCCCGGCAAGGCCCGGUGAGCGACAAGCUUCCGGGCGCGGCAAGACAACGACCGCGGCAAGGCGCUUGCCGCGGCAAGCGACCACUCUGCACCCACGCUCCAGCACAUCCACCAACGUGUCGCCCUGGGGCCUUCCCAGGAGCGCGUGGCAAGAGGCUGUGCAGCCAGCGGUGCGCGGUGGCAUGCGACGCUGACAUGAUUGCCAUCGUGGCGAGUGAUGGCGUCCCUGACGGUCCCUUUUUGCACUGUUUGGGCGACGCAGACGGGCAUUUAAUGCCUUUGUCCCCUGCCGUCAGGGUUAGGUAGGAUAUACUGUACAGGUGGUUGUACCAACCGCAAUUCCUUUUCCAUUUUUACCCUUGUCUGCAUUGCCACCUGUCGGUGACCCCUUGAGCAUAUAAAAGGAGGCCCAUGCGCAACGUAGAAGGGGUUCGGUUUGAAGCCAGAAAACACUCACGCUCGGUCUCGUUAGCAGCUCGAGUGUACUGUAGUACUCAGCGCUCCCGAGCAAGAACUCAAUAUAGUCAGACAAGCAGCAGUAGGGGUAUUAUCUCUCAGGGGAGCUCCGAAGCUGGGUAAACUGCUUGUGUGCUUUGCCUCGAUCUGCUCUUCGUGCGAUCUCCGCCCCCCGCCGAACCGAAAGGGGCUCGGUCCGCCGGUCCCCAUAGGUGUUCGUGGAUCAGCUUCCCCGACAUCUUUGGCGCGCCAGGUAGGGGAACCUCUAGGUUGUGUGAACCUGAUCUGGCGAUUCACACGAGCUAGAUCUUCAUCUUCUUCAUCGACAUGCCACCGAAGAAGAAAACUUCGGCGGCAGCUGCUCCGUCCACGUCGAUCCCACCACCACCGGAGCAAACGAGUGGUGGGGCAGACGCCGACGGGAGAACGGACAUCGACGAGGGAGCUCACGUCGCUACCAGGUCCAAGGACAAGGCUGCGCAGGCCUCGGCGUCCGUACAUGUUCCGCGCCCAUCUCAGGAGGCGCAGGACCGACAGCGUCAUGGUACUCGCAGUACCAUACGUUUGUUGGGCCAAGAUCGAGCUGGUGGAUCUCGGGGUGCUCAAGACCAGCAUGCAUGCCAACAUGCUGGCACGAGCGAGGCACGGUUGCCUGGACGGGAUACUGCUCCUUCUAACGUAGUUAGAAGUCCAAGCAUAUCCCGCUCUUCGCACCGUUCGCCACUGCCACCCACCACUCCAGCAGAAGCUUUGGCGCGAGCUCAACUGCUCCUGGAUUACCCUCCAACGUAAGACAAGAUCGACGGAUGGAGGGCCACUAUUCAAAGUCUCAUCGGCUUCGCCAACGGUGACACUCCGCGGCAGCCGAGUACAUCGCGGCCGCGGUAGGACUGCCAGGCACGAGCCGGUGGCGACGAAACCGGUGGAGGUGCAGCCACCAUGCACUCUCCACCCCGAAGGCCAAGAUCGCCGACUCGUCGGAUCCACCUCGACAGCGACUCCACCGCAUCAUCGGAUCCACGAGCUCGUCGCGAUCAGCGCCAAGUUCUUCACGAACGACAGCAAGAAGACGCUCGUACUCGCAUCGAGCGCCGAAGAGAAGCGCGACGUCAAUCAGACCAGUGCGCUGGGCCCUCUGUCGACAUGCAUGCGCCAGGGGAACCAGGCGACUUGCCGUACGCGGUAGGUUGCCCUGCAUUCACUUGUGAGCUGCGGCAAGUCCAGUGGCCCAGCACGAAGAAUUUCAAGCCAGACGUGCCAGAGAAGUACGACGGCAAGUCGCAUCCGUCGGAGUUCCUCAGCAUCUACACCAUCACGGUGCAAGCUGCCGGGGCACGAGACAACAAGAUCCUUGCCAACUACUUCCCGCUGGUGCUCAAGCCCAAUGUCAGAUCCUGGCUCAUGCACUUGCCGGAUAACUCCAUAUCCUCCUGGGCAGAUCUAUGCCAUCAGUUUGUCGGCACCUUUACAAGCGGACACAAGCCUCAUGGCCAAGAGAACAAUCUUCAUCUGCUUGCCCAGAAGGAAGGAGAGCCCCUGCGCAAGUACAUUCAGAGAUUCAGCCGUGUACAGCACAACAUCCCAGAUGUCCACCCUGCUGCGGUAAUCAGCGCGUUCCAUCAGAACGUGCGAAACCGCAGGAUGCGGGAGGAGAUGGCGAUGUGCAAGAUCAGAGACGUCAGUGAGCUAUAUGCCCUGGCCGACAAGUGUGCACGUGCUGAGGAAGGGAGGAAACUCCCCGGAGAGAAUAUAGGAGCAGGAGGAUCUGAUAGUGAGGAGACUGCCCCGGCAAGGAAAAACCGACGGCGGAGCAACAGAAAGAAGAAAGGCAAAGAGGUGCUAGUCGUUGAGCAGUCCGGCAAGAAAGCCAAAGCUGGUAGCUCCGGCAAGGAGAUUGCCGCGGGCACCAACCACCAGGCUGUGGCGGUCACCGACAAGCAGGACAGCACCAACAAGCAGUACUGCAAGAUCCACCGCACUAAGGGCCAUGACCUCCAGAGCUGCAAGAAGGUCGAGCAGCUUGUCGAGCAGCAAAAAGCUGAAUACGAGCGGCGCGACAAGGAGAAGGCCCAGGAAGGUGCUGGAGGAGCCAGCAAGAAACGUCCCGGCCGGGGAGGACGCCGCGGCAAGGCCAAGCAGUGGCAAGGAGACAGACCUCCCCGCGGCCGCGACAAGGAUGAAGAUGAGGACGACGAUGAAGAGAUGGAUGAUGACGAGACCGAUGAGCAGGAGUUCCAGAAAGCCACAGAGGUCCUGUGCGUUGGCGGUGGUACUUCUCUGCAUACUUCACACCGCCAGCUCAAGUAGUGGGUGCGGGAAGUCAAUGCGGCAGAACCACCCAUCGAGUCACGCAAGCCUCUGGAAUGGUCCAGCACGCCUAUCAUCUUUGAUAUUGAGGACCACCCUGAUCGCAUAACUGCGGUCGGGUGCUUGCCGAUGUUGGUUUCACCAACUAUCCGCAACCUCAAGGUCACUAAGAUGCUAGUUGACGGCGGGGCCGGCUUGAACCUGAUCUCCUCCGCGGUACUCCAGAAACUCCAGAUCCCUGAUAGUGAGCUCGAAGAGACCGACACAUUCCAAGGAAUCAAUCCGGGAAGGAGCAAGCCGAAGGGAAAGAUCACGUUGCCGGUGACAUUUGGCAGCGAGUUGAACUUCAGGACUGAGAGGGUCACUUUUGACGUUGCUGAUUUUCCAUUACCUUACAAUGGGAUACUCGGCCGUCCAGCACUCGCCAAAUUCAUGGCAGCCUCUCAUUAUGCAUACAACAUACUGAAGAUGCCAGGCCCGAUAAGUGUCAUCUCUGUCCCUGGCGACAAGAAGGAUGCUCUUAUCUGCGCCGACAAGAUCUACCGGGAAGCAGCAGCCGCAACAGAUCGCAAGUCACUUGCCGUUGAAGCUCCCGGGGCGAAGAAGAAGACCAAGUCCGGCAAGAGCUCUGAUGCCCACUCCGGCAAGUGCACCUCUUCGGAGUGCUGCGCUACCGUCGAGGAUGCACCAUCGAGCUCCACCGGCAAGUGUAAGAAGACAAUGGCAGCUCCACCAGAGACCAAGAAGGUGUGCGCCAAGGAGGACGGCACUGGUGGUACCUUCACCAUCAGUGCCACUCUCGACCCUAAAUAGGAAAGCGCGCUCGUUGCUUUCCUGCGGGCGAAUGUCGACGUAUUUGCGUGGCAACCGUCUGACAUCCCCGGCGUUCCCAGGAAAGUAAUCGAGCACCAUCUUGCCGUCUGUCCUCAUGCGCGGCCCAUCAAGCAAAAAGUCAGGAAACAAGCAGUGGAGCGCCAAGAAUUCAUUGCAGAAGAAAUCAAGAAAUUGGAAGCAGCAUGCCUUGUUAGGGGAGUGCUCCAUCCUAUGUGGUUGGCCAAUCCUGUAGUCGUGCGUAAGGCAAACGGGAAAUGGAGGCUUUGUAUCGACUUUACCGAUGUCAAUAAAGCUUGUCCCAAAGACCCAUUUCCCUUGCUGCGCAUCGACCAGAUUGUUGACUCCACGGCCGGAUGUGACUUGCUUUCAUUUCUUGAUGCAUACUCAGGAUACCAUCAGAUCUUCAUGGCAGAAGAGGAUGAGGAGAAAACCGCAUUCAUCACCCCAUGUGGCACAUACUGUUUCGUACGGAUGCCCUUCGAUUUAAAGAAUGCUGGUUCAACAUUUGCAAGGGUAGUCCAUGACGCUUUUGAGCCACAAAUACACAAAAAUGUGGAAGCCUACAUGGAUGACAUAGUGGUCAAAAGCAAGGACAAGGCGACUCUGAUCCAAGAUUUAGACGAAACCUUUGCAAAUCUGCGCAGGAUCAACCUCAAGCUUAACCCCGAGAAAUGUGUGUUUGGAGUCCCCUCCGGCAAGCUUCUCGGGUUCUUUGUGUCUCAGCGGGGAAUUGAAGCCAAUCCCGACAAGAUCAAGGCCAUUGAGCAGAUUGAAGCACCAAAGCGCGUCAAGGAUGUACGAAGACUUACCGGUUGCAUGGCUGCUCUCAGCAGGUUUAUCUCUAGAUCUGCUGAGCGCACCCUGCCAUUUUUCAAAAUAUUGAAAAAGGCAGGUCCAAUGAAAUGGACUCCGGAAGCGGAGGCUGCGCUGCAGGACUUGAAGAGAUACCUGUCCUCCACUCCAACACUUGUCGCACCUAAGCCACAAGAGAAGUUGCUGCUAUAUAUAGUGGCAACCAAUCAAGUGGUUAGUGCUGCGUUAGUAGCAGAGAGGGAGGCAGAUGAUGAGCCAGCAACCACGGCAGAUGCAUCCAGCGACAAGCAGGGGACUUCACCGGCAAGCUCUGGUCCCGACAAAGAUGGAUCUGCGCAGGCGCGUGAGAAGAUGCAGAAAAGAAUGGUGCAGCACCCAGUUUACUUUGUCAGUUCCCUUCUGCAGGGGGCUAGGUCAAGGUACUCUGGUGUGCAGAAAUUGCUUUUCGGCCUUCUCAUGGCCUCGAGAAAGCUGCGCCAUUACUUCCAAGCACAUGAGAUCACAGUCGUCACUUGUUUUCCGCUGAAGAGGAUAUUGCAAAAUCCAGAAGCGACAGGCAAGAUUGUCGAGUGGGCACUGGAACUGUCAAGCUUUGGCCUCAAGUUUGAAAGCACUUCAACUAUCCAAAGCAGAGCAUUGGCAGAAUUCAUAGCAGAAUGGACGCCAACACAAGAUGAAGAAGUUCCAGAAACAAGCAUCCCCGUCAAGGAAACAAGCAAAGAGUGGCUGAUGUACUUUGAUGGUGCCUUCUCGCUGCAAGGCGCCGGUGUGGGCGUGCUACUUGUAGCACCCACCGGAGAGCACCUCAAGUACGUAGUCCAGAUGCACUUUCCCAAGGAGCAAGCAACGAACAAUACUGCAGAGUAUGAAGGUUUGCUUGCCGGUCUCAGGAUCGCAGCAGACCUUGGGAUCAAGAAGCUCAUUGUCAGGGGUGACUCACAGCUUGUCGUCCGCCAAGUGAACAAGAACUAUCAGAGUCUGUUGAUGGAAGCUUACGUGGAUGAAGUGAGGAAGCUAGAAGAGCGCUUUGAUGGCCUACAGAUGGAACAUGUUCCAAGAGCUCAGAACGACAUUGCCGAUAGUCUGUCAAAGUGCGCCGCGCUUAAGUUACCUGUGGAACCAGGGAUCUUUGUGCUCAAGCUGACUCAACCAUCUAUAACGCCAUCAGUUGGACUGAGCAAGAAGAGGAAGUUGAUUUCCGGUGACUAUUUUCCGGCAGAGCUCCCCGAAGCCGCCGCCAAGAAGGUCCCUAAAAUCAACACCAAGGAUGCUGAGGAGCAGUCUGCUCCGGCAAGCCUUAGGGUUUGUUCCGUUGAAGCAGACGCUCCCGACAAGUUUUGCUCCGGCAAGCUUGCCGGGGAAUGUCGAGCUCCAGCCGAGCCACAGGUUCUCGCCGUAGAAGCGGAUGUUCCCACAGCAGCAGACAUGCCUUUAGUCCUUGUCGUCGAGCCGCAAGCUCCAGCAUGGGCACAGCAGAUUGUCCGUUUCCUUCAGACAGGAGAACUUCCCGAAGAGCAGGAAGAAGCGGAAAGAGUAGCCCGGCAAUCAAGUAUGUACCAGUUUGUCGACAACACACUGUACAGAAGAAGACUCAACGGUGUGAAAUUGAAGUGUAUUCACCGGGAAGACGGACAAAAGCUGUUGGCAGAGAUACAUGGAGGCAUAUGUGGUCACCACAUUGGCGCAAGAGCACUUGCCGGCAAAGUGUUCCGGCAAGGUUUCUUUUGGCCGACAGCCCUCCAGGAUGCAACUGCACAAGUAACCAAGUGUGAAGCGUGCCAGUUCCAUUCCAAGCAGAUACACCAGCCAGCUCAAGCUCUCCAGAUGAUCCCUUUAUCCUGGCCAUUUUCGGUCUGGGGGCUCGACAUCCUCGGCCCCUUUCCCCGAGCUGUCGGGGGCUUUGAGUACUUGUACGUUGCAAUCGACAAGUUCACAAAGUGGCCGGAAGUGGAAGCAGUGAGGAAGGUGACAGCACAGUCAGCAGUCAAGUUCUUCAGGUCGAUUGUUUGCUGCUUCGGGAUCCCUAAUAGGAUCAUCACCGACAACGACACGCAAUUCACGAGCCGCACCUUCAUGCAGUACGUCCAAGAUCUUGGCGCCAAGGUCUGCUUCGCUUCUGUUGCUCAUCCAAGAAGCAACGGUCAAGCGGAGAGGGCGAAUGCUGAAGUGCUGCGCGGGCUCAAGACCAGGACUUUCGACAGGCUGCGGAAGUGCGGAAGGAACUGGAUUGAGGAGCUGCCGGUGGUUCUUUGGUCGAUCAGGACGACACCAAAUCGAGCCACUGGCCAGACACCUUUCGCUCUAGUCUAUGGAGCAGAAGCAGUUCUCCCCACGGAACUCGUAUACGGGUCACCUUGAGUGCUCGCUUAUGAUGAGCUUGAGCAAGAGAAGUUGUGACAAGAUGACGCGCUGCUCCUUGAGCAAGACCGUCUUCAGGCUGCUGUACGAGCUGCUCGAUACCAACAAGCUUUGCGCCGCUACCAUAGCCGCAAAGUUAAUGCCAGAAGUUUUGAGGAAGGCGACCUUGUUCUUCGGCGCGUUCAGUCCGCCAAGAAUUCCAACAAGUUGACGCUGAAGUGGGAAGGCCCUUACCGGGUGAAACGAGUCACUAGGCCUGGCGCUGUCCGCCUUGAGACCGAAGAUGGCAUUCCGGUGAGCAACUCCUGGAACAUUGAGCAUCUUCAUAAGUUUUACCCGUAAGGCGGCGCAGAACCCGUGCAUAAAUAAAGCUCAUGUGCUCCGCACAUCUUGUCAAUAUCAUGCUUUCUACUUUAUUUUUGCAUGCAUUAUCUGACACUUUGUGCAGCACCUACCCCGGUAAGCAAUAACGAGCCGGAAGGCACCAUAUCUUUAUUUUCUCUUCUUUCUUUUUCUCAAAAAGGAAAGGAAGGUUCCCUCGCACACAAGUUUGCCGGGGGGGAAGGAGAAGAUAAUGGUGUGGACCAGGCAUCAUUCAAGGAAGUUUUGCCUUACCGGAAAGCAAACGACAAAAAAAAGCUAAGUUGCCAAAGUUUGAGCAAUCAAUUUUUAAAUUUUUUAAGUUAUCUUCCUUGAACGACCGUACUUUGUAUGGAAAACCUGUGCGCGGAGGAACCAACUCGUAGCUAGAUGCGCCCUUACUUUGUUUCGAGUCCGCUCAACAACUUAAGUGAGCUGCGACUAGUUGCGGCAAGGUUUCUUGUCGGAAGUGGCACCGCCAGCAGGCUGCUGACGUCCCGCACUCAGCGCUCGCGGCCCGGGUGCCUACGCCGACAAGUUCCCUAAAAGCGUAGGGUAAAAACAUACAAAGGAAGGAAUCAAGUAAAGGAAAUAACACAGCAAUCUUUACUCAAAAUAGAGUUAUAUUACAAGAUAACUUGUCGCAGCUCUAACAAUUUGUUCUCAUGACAUGAUCAGUAGCGACAAGGAAAAAGAGAAAAUGGGCGGCCUAGUCUACGCGAUCGCCCUCAACCCUCUUGAUUUCGCUCACCUUGUCCACAAUGGGUGCGACAAGGGCCUUGAGCGCCUCCAGAUCAGCAUCCGGCGGCAAGGACCUGAGGACGUUGGUGAGGUUGAGGCCUGGGUUGCGGAAGGCCACCUUCACCAGCACCUUUUGAAGAACUCCCGCGCAGAUCUUGCGCGACUCGUCGGCCAGCUGCUUUGGGAUCUUCUCCCGGAGUCACUGGAGUGCCGUCGCCACGCCUUUGAAGAAUAAGCUGAGCUUGGCGCUGGGUUGGAGGUGCUCAUCGGAGGAGUACCUGAGAUCCUCCAUCCCCAGCUGCGCCAGCUCCCUGUCGAUGGCUGCGGUAACAUUCACCAGACCCUCGGUCCAGUGUUCCACAGUCUCCCUAAAAGCAUCCUGGGCGGCAGUAGCACUCGCCAGCAGCGCCUCGUCGGCCUUGAUCUUCUCCGACAAGGCCACCUCCCGCUCCCUGGCGCCGUCCAGCGUCUGAGUCAAAGUGGCCAGCUUCAACUCGAGAUCUGCAUUGGAAUCCUUGGCGGCGCUGAGCUCCUUUCUCCUCUCAGCGAGAAGACCCUGCAGCUCACCAUGAGCGGCAGCGUCCUUCUCGCGCUCACGCUUGAGCGCAGCAAGCUCCUCGCCGCUCGCCCUGAGAUCGGCUUCCAGCUGCGCCACCUUCGUCUCCAGCUCUUUCUUGGCGGCCUCGGCAGCUGCGGCAACAUCCUUUGCCUCUUUGAGAGCCCCGCCAAUUGCUUGCUCGUACGCGGCAAGUUCCUCCUCGUGGCUGUCAAGGUUGACCAAGCGCUGCGCCAACUCUCCUUCCUGUGCAAAUAGAUCUUCGGCAACAAGCCGUUGCUUCUCUUCAACUUCAGCCUUCUCGAGGAGAAAGGCUUUCCGCUCCUCGAGAAGUUGCUCCCGCUCCUCCGCCAGAGACCGGAGAGCUUCCUGCCUGAGACCCCGGAGCUCCUGCGCGCGCUUCUCGAUAUCCACUCCCGCCUUCGCGACAAGCGCUUCUCGGGAUGCCAGCUUGGCUUGUCGGGCGCGGUAGAGCGACAGCAGCUUCCGCAACAGCCGCUCCUCCUCAGGCUCGUCACUGCUGCUGCUUGGUGCGUCAACCAACGUCAGCCCAGCGGAGGCGAGCACCUCUCCAUCCAGAAUCUCUCCUUCGACCGGCACCCUAGAGCUUGACGCCCAGGGGAGCUUGAUGAAGAUGCCAUCGCCGGCCUUCAAGUAGGCGUCGGGCUGGGGAUCUUCCAAGCCUGGCUCUGCAGCAACGGCGGAGGAUCGGCGGUCGGCGCAACGCCUGGCGCUCCUGCGGCCUCGGGGCCAUCAGUGCGAUCGCCAGAUCCCUCGCCAGCUUCUGCGGCGGCAGCCUUGGCGGCCUCUUCGCCGUAGGGAUCAUCAGCGUCGGCUUCUCCUUCGGUGGCAACGGCGUCAUCGGUGUCGCCGCGCGCGUCCUCCUCGCUGGCGAUCUCGGUUUCCAUCGGCUCCAUGGCAGGUGGAUCUGACGAACGGAAAAGGGAGAAGAGUCAAGCAAAUAUGCAAAAAGAAAAUCAGAAGAAGAAGAAGAACCCAAGGGGAGUUUUCAGGCAAGAGGGUUACCUGUGCUAGGAUCUGCGGUCGAGGUCUCAACCACCGGAGGAUCACUAGUGCUGUCCCUUGCCGGAGAACUGUCCCUUGCCGGAGAUUUCUCCCUUACCGGAGAACGCUCCCUUGUCGGGGAAUCCUCCCUUGGCGGUGUAGUCGAAGCAGAAGGCAUUUCAGGAGCGGCUUCCGGGCACUCCUGGUGAGGUUGCUCUGCUCCUGCACAAACCAACAGUCAGAUAUCAUCAGAGAAAGAGCACCCAUGCGCGCCUGAUAGCAGGAAGUAAACCAUAUACUUACGUGGAGGGCUGCGCUGGGGGCUGCUUUGAGGAAUGGUUGCCGGGUCCGACAAGGUGGUCUCGGACAUGUCCUCUGCCGUCGCGGUGGGGUCGUCCUCGAUGACAAUCACUGGGACCUUGGCUCUCUUCGCCUCUCUCUGGGCCAGCGUCCUGAAAAGGAAUGGGUUCAGAGUGAAGCAAGUCAGACACAAGACAGAAACAACAAAAAUUGAAGAGUUACAAGAACAACAAAGAAUCUUACUCUUCUUCUUCCUCGCCGGAGCUGAGCGCGGAAAGAUCAAAGUCCGGCUCUCCUUCGGUGCGACGAGGCGGAGGAGUAGGUUCCCUUGUCCGCUUGGCAGGAGCAGUAGCAGUGGACCGGGAAGACCCCGCCUCAGUUGCCGCAGCGGCGUGAGGCGCUCCCGCGGCAACAGUGCUUGCCGCGGUAGAGCGUGUCGCACGGCACGGCGGCUGUUGACUCGUUUGCCGCCCCGCUAUGUCCCCGGCCUUGUGGAGACGCCUUCUUGGUGCCGCUGGGGGCUCCGCUUGCGGCAAGCUGUCUGAAGGGUCGGGCCCGAUAAGCUCUCCUCCGCCGGGCUCGCUCGACUCUGCUUCAGGCCCGGCAAGCUCUUCCUCGCCAGCGAACUCCUCUCGCUCGACAAGGCUUGCCGCCUCUGCUGCCUCUGCCUCCUCCACGGUGAAUCCAAACUCGCCCACGGCAGCGGCUGCUGCCGCCUCUUCUAGCCUGGUGGCGAUGCGCUGCAUCUCAUCAUCGAUGGUGUCGUGGGUGAGGCUCUUCUGCUCGUCGGAGCGGACCGGCACUUCAACCAAGCCAUCAAAGAACUCCUGCACGAUGGCGUCUGCCAGCUCCUGCCAAGUUGGGACAAUUCCAUGCGAGUCGCACAGUGGCAUCAUUGCGCGGAUGCGGUCGAGCGAGGAAUUGUUGCACAACGGAACGACACCCCUCGGCAGCAUGAAUGGAUGUUGGGGAUCGCGCUUGAACAGCUCCAGGAGCAUCGCAUCCAGCUCCAGGACGGUGAAGUUGAAGUUGAGGCCCGGGCGCAGCCUCAUGAUAUCCGCCGAGUUCUGGAACUCCCAGGCGGGUCUCCUCCUCUCCUGCGGGGGGCGAUGCGGCAGCGAAGAAAAUCUGCGCCAACAGCGCCUACGGUGAGCCCGGCAAGCCUGAGGCGUAGGAUCCGGGUGAUGGCAAUCUUCAGCCUGUCGUCUUCCGGGGCGACGUUGCUCCAAUCGUUGCCACGCACUAUUGGGGCUUGGCGCAGGGCAGUAAAUGGCUGUGGGUUCUCCUCGACAAUCCAGCACCACUCUGCUCUCCAUUCCUCCCACUUGCUGUGGAGCUCUCCCUCCAGAUAAGCUUCCUUCUUGCCGACUCUCGAGAUCCAAGCGAUCCCACCGGCAAGAGGUUCCCCUCUCUCAACCCGGGGCAUAAAGAAGUGGUGGAAAAGGGCUACGUUUGGAUGGACUCCGACAAAGUUUUCGCAAAGAUGUGCGAAAACUGCCAUGGUCAGAAUGGCGUUGGGGGUGAAGUCAAGGAGGCGGAACCCGUAGGUGUUCAUGAUGUCAUAGAAGAAUUCAGAGAAGGGCGGGCAGAGCCCGCAGUAGAAGAACAGCGCGAAGAAGGGGUACCCGUUUGGAGCUAGUUCCGAAGCAGCGGCCGGGAGUACCUUCGUGCGCGGAUGCGCUCGCGUCUCCGUCGACUAGAAAAGGUAGUAGUACUCCCUCAGCUCCUUCACGGCAAGCUGAGGGGGGAAGAUGGCCCGCUCCUUUCGCAGCGCCGCGAGCCGCUGCGCCUCGACCGAUUUCACGCCCUUCCCCUUGUCGGCUUUCGGAGCCAUGGCGGAGGUGGUGGGGGAGAUCGACGGCGUUGGUGGUGCUGGUGGCAAUGGGGGGCGGAGCGCUGCUCUCUUUCAGCUUCUGGAAGAAGGGGGGAGCGGCGGAGAUUUGCGAGAUUGGAGUAGCAACCGGCGAGAUGGACGAACUGCCCCUGUUUCCCCUGCUUAUAAAGGGGGAGGGGGCGGACGUUUCGUCCUUCUGAAUAAAUAAACCACCCAUGAUCUCUCCCACGAUGCCGCAUUCGACGCGUGCCGUUGGGGGAGGGCGCGGUGGAUACGGAGUAAGAUACGACAUAACCCAGGCCACACAUGCCCGUGCCCUGUUUUGGGCCUGGCCCAACAACGCUCGGCACCGUGUGUGGCCCAGGCCCGGGGGCUCCUGUCGGUGUACUAGAGUAGGGGUACCCUAGUAUCCCGAACUUGUGCACGGGCAGUUGCAGCACCCCGCGGCAAGGCUUGCCGGAUGACCGCCAAGGUCCUCCGUGGUCCCUUUGGAGCCAUUCAAGAACAAAGUAUUCAAGCCAAGGAGACAAGGCCCCGGCAAGAGGAGCUUGCCGGGAAGGCCAACCAAGGCAUCGCAAGGAACUUGCCGCGACGCGCCGCGCGUCCCGGCAAGGCCCGGUGAGCGACAAGCUUCCGGGCGCGGCAAGACAACGACCGCGGCAAGGCGCUUGCCACGGCAAGCGACCACUCUGCACCCACGCUCCAGCACAUCCACCAACGUGUUGCCCUGGGGCCUUCCCAGGCGCGCGUGGCGAGAGGCUGUGCAGCCAGCGGUGCGCGGUGGCAUGUGACGCUGACAAGAUUGCCAUCGUGGCGAGCGAUGGCGUCCCUGACGGUCCCUUUUUGCACUGUUUGGGCGACGCAGACGGGCAUUUAAUGCCUUUGUCCCCUGCCGUCAGGGUUAGGUAGGAUAUACUGUACAGGUGGUUGUACCAACCACAAUUCCUUUUCCAUUUUUACCCUUGUCUGUGUUGCCACCUGUCGGUGACCCCUUGAUCAUAUAAAAGGAGGCCCAUGCGCAACGUAGAAGGGGUUCGGUUCGAAGCCAGAAAACACUCACGCUCGGUCUCGUUAGCAGCUCGAGUGUACUGUAGCACUCAGCACUCCCGAGCAAGAACUCAAUACAGUCAGACAAGCAGCAGUAGGGGUAUUAUCUCUCCGGGGAGCUCCGAAGCUGGGUAAACUGCUCGUGUGUUUCGCCUCGAUCUGCUCUUCGUGUGAUCUCCGCCCCCCGCCGAACCGAAAGGGGCUCAGUCCGCCGGUCCCCAUAGGUGUUCGUGGAUCAGCUUCCCCGACUCUUGGUCGAAUUUUCUUUUGGUGGAACGGCCGCGUCGUCGAAUUCUGGCAGUAGCUUGCGCUUCGGAUAGCUUUUCGUAUGGCGGUCAUCACCAUAUCUUUCUUCAGUGUCUAGCACCUUAUUCCAUCUGCGACUUAGCUUUUCCUGUGCGGCCUUGAGCCAUUGCUUCUGCUUUUUUAGACUUCUUGCGGUGGCCAUAAGCUUUCUGUGGAGGUUGUCUCGUUCCACUUGUUCGUCCGGGAUGAUGAAUGCAUCGUCGUCCAGACUGUCUUCUUGUUCUGGGGCGGCAUCAUGAGCUCGUCCCUCCAGAUCAUUGUGAUUGGGUAUUUGCUCCGAAAUUGAUUUGGCGUGACCUGGCUCGUCCUGCUCCAUCGUUGGGUCCAUGUUGUCAUUAUUGCUUUUGGAGUUUGCGGGUAUAUCAACCCUUCUUGCGCUCUUGUCGCUAUUUUUGCCAUUGCUGGACUUUGAGCGGCGUCUGCGCCGCCUUUUUGGCUUUUGCCCGGGUGUUUUAUCGUCCGGAUUAUCACUGCCAUCCUUAUUGGGCGUAUCUACCAUGUAUAUAUAUUGUGUGACAAGGUAGUAGUCCUGCGCUCUAGGGAUUCUGGAGCCUCUCCUGCAUCGUCGUCCAUACCGUCGAUGUCUUGGGAGUCAAGCACGCCGGUUAAUUCUUUGAUCUUGGCAAUGAAGUGGGUGGUGGGUGGGCGCCGAUUUCCUUCGUCGCCUGCUUCCCACUCGGGCCGGACAUAGUUUGGCCCGGAGCCUCCUCACAAAGAGAGAGACUUUAAUGAGUUCAGCAUGCCGCCAAAGGGCGAGUGCUGAAAGAUGUCCGCAGCGGUAAACUCCAUUACCGGAGCCCAACCUAGCUUGGCUGGCUCGAGAGUGUGCGGACCGGGACCAACGACCAUAUAUGAGUCUGAGGGUCCGAGGUUACAGGCCUCCACAAAGGUGAGACCUGUUUUCGGCUCCACCGCUGAUGAGUGUGCGGCCUGCGGGGCGAGGACCAGCCCUUUGUCCCUAGGCAACGCAACCUGCCCUGGAUUUAGAUCUGGGGCUGCUGCGGGGAUGAUUUCCCGAGCAUUGUCCAUUAACAGGUCUAGGCCAUACUCGUCGUAACUGUCUGGCGUUCCUGGCCUAGGCUCGAAUCCAUCGAAGAUCAAGUCUCCGGGAAUAUCUGCCGUGUAGUUCAAGCCUCCGAACCUGAUCUGGUGGCCAGGGGCGAAGCUAUCGAUCUGCUCCAACUAGCCAAGCGAAUUGGCCCGCAGCGCGAAGCCGCCGAACACAAAGAUCUGUCCGGGGAGAAAAGUCUCACCCUGGACCGUGUUGUUGACGAUUGAAGACGCCAUCAAGCCUUGAAGCGACAACACAGAGGAACUCUCAAUGAAAGCACCAAUGUCGGUGUUAAAACCAGCGGAUCUCGGGUAGGGGGUCCCAAUCUAUGCGUCUUAGGCUGAUGGUAACAGGAAGCAAGGGACACAAUGUUUACCCAGGUUCGGGCCCUCUCGAUGGAGGUAAAACCCUACUUCCUGCUUGAUUAAUAUUGAAGAUAUGUGGAAUACAGGAGUAGAUCUACCACGAGAUCAUAGAGGCUAAGCCCUAAGAGCUAGCCUAUGAUGGUAUGAUUGUAAUUGUGAUCGGCCUUCUAAGGACCAUGCUCUCCGGUUUAUAUAGACACCGGGGAGCUAGGGUUUACAUGGAGUCGGUUACAAGGAAGGAAAUAUAAUAUCCAGAUCGCCAAGCUUGUCUUCCACGCAAAGGAGAGUCCCAUUCGGACACGAGCCGAAGUCUUGAGUCUUGUAUCUUGACGCUUCUAUAGUCCGGACGAUGAAUAUAGUCCGGCUGUCCGGAUACCCCCUUAUUCAGGACUCCCUCACCUCCACCUACAUAGACUAUCCGAGAACGAGACACCAAGAUACGGACAAAGCCGGGACAAAAUGCCGUUAGCCAGGACUGGACAUCCCCAAUACUGGCCCACACGCAGAGGAGAACAACAUCAAGGGGGCUAGCAGUGACGACCAUCACCACGGCACGGGCCAAUUGACCAUCACGGACACUUGGGAAGCAGGUCUCCAUGGGCCAGACCCAGCCGACGAGGAACCCCAAGACCCGUUGCCGUCAAACCCUAACUCCCCCAACAGAUGACCGAGACGUCAUCGGGUCCCUGCGCGCCACCACACGGACACUAUAGGCCAAUCAAUAUCAAUGCACUUGAGUUGGAAAUUAAAAAUUCAGCAAAUUUUGGUGUUUUUGUGCAAAUCAAGUGCAUUCACCGGGCAACUCAUGUGUAGUCCCAACCUGACUUGGUACACUGAUACAUCUCCAACGUAUCUAUAAUUUUCGAUUGUUCCAUGCUACUAUAUUACCUGUUUUGGAUGUUUAUGGGCUUUACUUUAUACUUUUAUAUCAUUUUUGGGACUAACCUACUAACCAGAGGCCCAGCCCGAAUUGCUGUUUUUUUGCCUAUUUCAAUGUUUCGAGAAAAGGAAUAUCAAACGGAGUCCAAACGGAAUGAAACCUUCGGGAGCGAUCUUUUUGGAACAAACAUGAUCCAGAGGACUUGGAGUGGAAGUCAAGAAACAAGCGAGGCGGCCACGAGGGUGCCCGGCGUGCCCCCUACAGUUGGGCGCUCCCCCUACCCUCAUGGGCCCCUCGAGCGUCCACCGAUGUACUCCUUCCCCCUACAUAUACCCAUGUACCCCGAAACCAUCAGAGGUGACCACGAAAACCUAUUUCCACCACCGUAACCUUCUGUAUCCGCAAGAUCCCAUCUUGGAGCCGUCGCCGGCGCUCCGUCGGAGGGGGAAUCCACCACGGAGGGCCUCUACAUCAACUCCAAGGCCCCUACGAUGAGUUGUGAGUAGUUUACCACAGACCUUCAGGUCCAUAGUUAUUAGCUAGAUGGCUUCUUCUCUCUCUUUGAUUCUCAAUACAAAGUUCUCCUUCCUCUUCUUGGUGAUCUAUUCGAUGUAACUCUUUUUGUGGUGUGUUUGUCGAGAUCCGAUGAAUUGUGGGUGUAUGAUCAAGUUUAUCUAUGAGAAAUAUUUGAAUCUCCUCUAAAUUCUUUUAUGUGUGAUUAAGUUAUCUUUGCAAGUCUCUUUGAUUUAUCAGUUUGGUUUGGCCUACUAGAUUGAUCUUUCUUGCAAUGGGAGAAGUGCUUAGCUUUGGGUUUAAUCUUGUUGUGUCCUUUCCCAGUGAUGGCAGGGGCAGCUAGACACGUAUUGUAUUAUUGCCAUCGAGGAUAAAAUGAUGGGGUUUAUAUCAUAUUGCAUGAGUUUAUCCCUCUACAUCAUGUCAUCUUUCUUAAUGCGUUACUCUGUUCUUCAUGAACUUAAUACUCUAGAUACAUGCUGGAUAGCGGUCGAUGUGUGGAGUAAUAGUAGUAGAUGCAGGCAGGAGUCGGUCUACUUGUCACGGAUGUGAUGCCUAUAUACAUUAUCAUGCCUAGAUAAUCUCAUAAUUAUUCCCUUUCCUAUCAAUUGCUUGACAGUAAUUUGUUCACCCACCGUAAUAAUUAUGCUAUCUUGAGAGAAGCCACUAGUGAAACCUAUGGCCCCCGGGUCUAUCUCUUAUCAUAUAAGCUUUCAAUCUACUUUUAUUUGCAUCUUUACUUUUCCAAUCUAUAUCAUACAAUACCAAAAAUAUAUUUAUCUUAUCAUAUUAUCUCCAUCAGAUCUCACUUUCUCAAGUGGCCGUGAAGGGAUUGACAACCCCUUUAUUGCAUUGGUUGCGAGUUCUUGUUUUGUUUGUGUAGGUGCGCGGGACUUGUGAGGAGCCUCCUACUGGAUUGAUACCUUGGUUCUCAAAAACUGAGGGAAAUACUUACGCUACUGUGCUGCAUCACCCUUUCCUCUUCAAGGAAAACCAACGCCAGCUCAAGACAUAGCAAGAAGGAUUUCUGGCACCGUUGCCGGGGAGGUCUUCGCUCAAGUCAAGACACACCAAGUACCCAUCACAAACUCAUCUCCCUCACAUUACAAUAUUUGCCAUUUUCCUCUCGUUUUCCUCUCCCCCACUUCACCCUUGCCGUUUUAUUCGCCCUCUCUUUCCCAAUCUCCUCUCUCUUUCACUUGCCCUUUUUGUUUGCUUGUGUGUUGGAUUGCUUGUCGUGAUGGCGCAAGAUAAUACCAAAUUGUGUGAUUUUUCCAAUACUAAUAACAGUGAUUUCCUUAGUACUCCGAUUGCUCCUCUUAAUGAUGUUGAGUCUUGUGAAACCAAUGCUGCUUUGCUAAAUCUUGUUAUGAAAGAUCAAUUUUCUGGCCUUCCUAGUGAAGAUGCCGCUAUCCAUCUAAACAACUUUGUUGAUUUGUGUGAGAUGCAAAAGAAGAAAGAUAUGAAUAAUGAUAUUCUUAAAUUGAAGUUAUUUCCGUUUUCACAUAGAGGUCGUGCUAAAAUUUUGUUUUCGUCUUUGCCUAAAAAUAGUAUUGAUUCUUGGAAUAAGUGCAAAGAUGCUUUUAUCUCUAAGUAUUUUCCUCCCGCUAAGAUCAUCUCUCUUAGGAACGAUAUUAUGAAUUUUAAACAACUUGAUCAUGAGCAUGUGGCCCAAUCUUGGGAAAGAAUGAAAUUGAUGAUUCGCAAUUGCCCUACUCAUGGUUUGAAUUUAUGGAUGAUCAUACAAACAUUUUAUGCCGGAUUGAAUUUUGCUUCUAGAAAUCUUUUAGAUUCGGCCGCGGGAGGCACGUUUAUGGAAAUCACCUUAGGAUAAGCUACUAAACUACUUGAUAAUAUUAUGGAUAAUUAUUCUCAAUGGCACACCAAAAUUAAUGUUUUUAGUGGAAAGAUGGAUGAACUUAUGAAAUUAUUUGCUACUAAGAGUGCUUCUAUUGAUCCCAAUGAUAUGACUUUGUCUCCUUUGAUUGAUAAUAAUAAUGAAUCUAUGGAUGUGAAUUUUAUUGGUAGGAAUAAUUUUGGUAACAAUGCUUAUAGAGGAAACUUUAAUUCUAGACUGUUCCCUAGUAAUUCCUCUAAUAAUUAUGGAGAUUCCUACAAUAAUUCUUAUGGUAAUUUUAAUAAGAUGCCCUCUGAUUUUGAAAAUAGUGUGAAAGAAUUUAUGGUCUCUCAAAAGAAUUUUAAUGCCUAGCUUGAAGAAAAAAUGCUUAAAGUUGAUGAUUUGGCUAGGAACAUUGAUAGACUUUCGCUUGAUAUUGAAUCUUUGAAACUUAGAUCUACUCCUCCUAAGCAUGAUAUCUAUGAGUCCCUCAAAGCUAUGAGAAUUUCCAUUAAUGAGUGCAAGGAAAGAACCGCUAGAUUGUGUGCCAAGAAAGAUUGCUUUGUGAAGGCAUGUUCUUCUAGUUUCCAUGAAAAUAAUGAUGUAGAUCUAAAAGUUAUAGAUGUGUCACCUAUUAAAUCUUUGUUUUGCAAUAUGAAUCUUAAUAAUGAUGGGACUGGAGAUGAGUCAACUUUAGUUAAAAGGUGUCCCAAUGAUUCGGAGUUUUUACAUCCUGAUGCUAAAUUUGGUAAAAGUGGGAUUGGAGAGGUCAAGACUUUAAAUAGCAUUGAACCCACUAUCUUGGAUUUCAAGGAAUUUCAUUAUGAUAGUUGUACUUUAGUUGAUUGUAUUUCCUUGUUGCAAUCCGUGUUGAAUUGUCCCCAUGCUUAUAGUCAAAAUAAAACCUUUACCAAACAUAUUGUUGAUGCCUUGAUGCAAUCUUAUGAUGAAAAACUUAAUUUGGAAGUUUCAAUACCUAGAAAACUUAAUGAUGAGUGGGAACCUACUAUAAAGAUUAAAAUUAAAGAUUAUGAGUGUUAUGCUUUGUGUCAUUUGGGUGCUAGUGUUUCCACAAUUCCGAAAACUUUAUGUGAUAUUCUAGGUUUCCAUGAAUUUGAUGAUUGCUCUUUAAAUUUGCACCUUGCAGAUUCCACCAUUAAAAAGGCUAUGGGAAGAAACAAUGAUGUUCUUAUUAUUGCAAAUAGGAACUAUGUGCCCGUAGACUUUAUCGUUCUUGACAUUGAUUGCAAUCUUUCAUGUCCUAUUAUUCUUGGUAGACCUUUCCUUAGAACAAUUGGUGCGAUUAUUUAUAUGAAGGAAGGGAAUAUUAGAUUCCAAUUUCCAUUAAGGAAAGGCAUGGAGCACUUUCCAAGAAAUAAACUCAAAUUACCUUAUGAAUCUAUCAUGCGAGCUACUUAUGAAUCAAGUGCCAAAGAUGGCACUACUUAGAUCUAUCCUCGCUUUUAUGCCUAGCUUGGGGCGUUAAACAAUAGCGCUUGUUGGGAGGCAACCCAAUUUUAUUUUAGUUUCUUUGUUUUGCUUCUGUUUAGUAAUAAAUUUUGCAUCUACUUUCUGUUUAGAUGUGUUUUCUUGUUUUAAUUAGUGUUUGUGCCAAGUAGAACCUAUAGGAUAACCUAUGGUAAGAGUUAAUUUGAUUCUGCUGAAAAACAGAAACUUUGCGCUCAUGAGAAAAAUUUCAAUAAAUCACAGAAAAAUGAUUUUGCGUUGAUUCUUUUUGCUGUAGAUCAAUAUACAAAUUUAUUAGGGCGUCCUAUUUUUGUAGGAGUUUUGGAGUUCCAUAAGUAUUCGAAAGUUACAGAUUGCUACAGACUGUUCUGUUUUUGACAGAUUCUGUUUUUCAUGUGUUGUUUGCUUAUUUUGAUGGAUCUAUGGCUAGUAUGUAGGGGUAUGAACCAUACAGAAGUUGGAAUACAGUAGGUUUAAAACCAGUAUAAAUAAAGAAUGAGUUCAUUACAGUACCUUAUGUGGUGGUUUUUCUUUCUUGCACUAACGGAGCUUAUGAGAUUUCCUGUUGAGUUUUGUGUUGUGAAGUUUUCAAGUUUUGGGUAAAGAUUUGAUGGACUAUGGAAUAAAGGGUGGCAAAAGCCUAAUCUUGGGGAUGCCCAUGGCACCCCAAGAUAUUCUAGGAUAACCAAAAGCCUAAGCUUGGGGAUGCCCCGGAAGGCAUCCCCUCUUUCGUCUUCGUCUAUCGGUAACUUUACUUGGAGCUAUAUUUUUAUUCACCACAUGAUAUGUGUUUUGCUUGGAGCGUCAUGUAUGAUAUUAGUCUUUGCUUUUUAGUUUAUCAAAAUCAUCCUUUCUGUACACACCUAUUGAGAGAGAAAUACUUGAUUUGAAAUUUAUUACAAUACUCUAUGUGCUUCACUUAUAUCUUUUGAGCUAGAUAAUUUUUGCUCUAGUGCUUCACUUAUAUAUUUUAGAGCACGGUGGUGGCUUAAUUUUGUAGAAAUUAUUAAUCUCUCAUGCUUUACUUAUAUUAUUUUGAGAGUUUCUUAGAACAGCAUGGUAUUUGCUAUGGUUAUAAAAUUGGUCCUAUAAUGAUGGGCAUCCAAGUUGGGUAUAAUAAAAACUAUCAUAGAAGUGAAUUGGAUGCUAUGAUCAAUUUGAUACUUGAUAAUUGUUUUGAGAUAUGGAGGUGGUGAUAUUAGAGUCAUGCUAGUUGAUGUAAUUGUGAAUUUAAAGAAUACUUGUGUUGAAGUUGGCAAGUCCCGUAGCAUGCACGUAUAGUAAAAGUUGUGUAACAAAUUUAUUGCAUAGGGUUCUCUUUUGAUUGCCUUCCCUUGUGUGGAGGUCGGGGGCGCGCGAUGGUUAACUCCUACCCCCCCUAGGAGCAUGCGCGUAGUGCUUGGUUUUUGAUGACUUGUAGAUUUUUUGAAUAAGUGUAUGAGUUCUUUAUGAGUAAUGUUGAGUCCAUGGAUUAUACGCACUCUCACCUUCCAUCAUUGCUAGCUUCUUCGGUACCGUGCAUUGCCCUUUCUCACCUUGAGAGUUGGUGCAAACUUCGCCGGUGCAUCCAAACCCUGUGAUACGAUACGCUCUAUCACACGUAAACCUCCUUGUAUCUUCCUCAAAACAGCCACCAUACCUACCUAUUAUGGCAUUUCCAUAGCCAUUCCGAGAUAUAUUGCCAUGCAAAUUUCCACCGUUCCGUUUAUCAUGACACGCAUCAUCAUUGUCAUAUUGCCUUGCAUGAUCAUGUAGUUGACAUCGUAUUUGUGGCAAAGCCACCAUGCAUAAUUUUUCAUACAUGCCACUCUUUAUUCAUUGCCCAUCCCGGUACACCACCGGAGGCAUUCAUAUAGAGUCAUAUCUUGUUCUAGUUUCAAGUUGUAAUUCAUGAGUUGUAAAUAAAUAGAAGUGUGAUGAUCAUCAUUAUUAGAGCAUUGCCCCUUAUAAAAAAAGAAAGGCCAAAAAAAGAGGCCAAAGAAAAAAAAAGAAAAAAAGGAAAGGCCAAAUAAAAAAAAGAAAGGCCCAAAAAAAGGGGGACAAUGUUACUAUCUUUUUUCCACACUUGUGCUUCAAAGCAGCACCAUGUUCUUCAUGUAGAGAGUCUUGUUUGUUGUCUCUUUCAUAUACUAGUGGGAAUUUUUCAUUAUAGAACUUGGCUUGUAUAUUCCAACGAUGGGCUUCCUCAAAAUGCCCUAGGUCUUCAUGAGCAAUCAAGUUGGAUGCACAUCCACUUAGUUUAUUUUGUUGAGCUUUCAUACAUUUAUAGCUCCAGUGCAUCCGUUGCAUGGCAAUCCCUAAUCCUCAUGUUGACAUCAAUUGAUGGGAAUCUCCAUAGCCCGUUGAUUAGCCUCGUCAAUAUGAGACUUUCUCCUUUUUUGUCUUCUCCACACAACCUCCACCAUCAUAUUCUAUUCCACCCAUAGUGCUAUAUCCACGGCUCACGCUCAUGUAUUGCGUGAAAGUUGAAAGUAGUUUGAGAUUGCUAAAGUAUGAAACAAUUGCUUGGCUGAAACCGGGGUUGUGCUUGAUGGGAGUAUUUGAUACGUCCAUUUUGCAUCAUGCUUUUAUGUCAAUAUUUAUUGCAUUAUGGGCUGUUAUUACACAUUAUAUCUCAAUACUUAUGGCUAUUCUCUCUUAUUUUGCAAGGUUUACCAUGAAGAGGGGGAAUGCCGGCAGCUGGAAUUCUGGCUGGAAAAGGAGCAAACAUUGGAAACCUAUUCUGCACUGCUCCAAAAGUCCUGAAACUCCACGGAACAUGUUUUUUGAUUUAUUAAGAAUUAUUGAGCGAAAGAAAUACAUCAGGGGGCCCACACCCUAUCCAGGAGGGUGGGGGGCGCGCCCCCUACUAGGCGCGCCCCGUAUCUCCUUGGCCCCCUGGUGGCUCCCCGAUGUCCAUCUUCCGCUAUAUGAAGGCUUUUACCCUGGAAAAAUUGUGGGCAAGCUUACGGGACGAAACUCCGCCGCCACGAGGCGGAACCUUGGCGAAACCAAUCUAGGGCUCUGGCAGAGCUGUUCUGCCGAGGACACUUCCCUCUGGGAGGGGAAAAUCAUCACCAACGUAAUCACCAAUGAUCCUCUCAUCGGGAGGGGGUCAAUCUCCAUCAAUAUCUUCACCAGCACCAUCUCCUCUCAAACCCUAGUUCAUCUCUUGUAUCCAAAACCACAAAUUGGCACCUAUGGGUUGCUAGUAGUGUCGAUUACUCCUUGUAGUUGAUACUUACUGGUUUACUUGGUGGAAGAUCAUAUGUUCAGAUCCUUAAUGCAUAUGAUUACACCUCUGAUCAGGAACAUGAAUAUGCUUUGUGAGUAGUUACGUUUGUUCCUGAGGACAUGGGUGAAGUCUUGCUAUUAGUAGUCAUGUGAAUUUGGUAUUCGUUUGAUAUUUUGAUGAGAUGUAUGUUGUCUUCUCCUCUAGUGGUGUCAUGUGAACGUCGACUACAUGACACUUCACCAUUGUUUGGGCCUAGAGGAAGGCAUAGGGAAGUAAUAAGUAGAUGAUGGGUUGCUAGAGUGAUAGAAGAUUAAACCCUAGUUUAUGCGUUGCUUCGUUAGGGGCUGAUUUGGAUCCACAUCUUUGAUGCUAUGGUUAGGUUUACCUUAAUACUUUUGUUGUAGUUGCGGAUGCUUGCAAUAGGGGUUAAUCAUAAGUGGGAUUCUUGUCCAAGUAAGGGCAGUACCCAAGCACCGGUCCACCCACAUAUCAAAUUAUCAAAGUACCGAACGCGAAUCAUAUGAGCGUGAUGAAACUAGCUUGACGAUAAUUCCCAUGUGUCCUCGGGAGCUCCUUUCUCAUUAUUAGAAAUUGUCUAGGCUUAUCCUUUGCUACAUAAAGGAUUGGGCCACCUUGCUGCACUUUAUUUACUUUGUUUUCUUGUUACUCAUUACUAUUUAUCUUAUCACAAAACUAUCUAUCACCUACAAUUUCAGUGCUUGCAGAAAACCUUACUGGAAACCGCUUAUCAUUUCCUUCUACUCCUAGUUGCGUUCGACACUCUUACUUAUUGAAAGGACUACGAUAGAUCCCCUACACUUGUGGGUCAUCAAGACUCUUUUCUGGCGCCGUUGCCGGGGAGUGUAGCGCUUUUGGUGAGUGGAACUUCGUAAGGAAACAUUUAUAUAGUGUGCUGAAAUUUUUGUUUCUUGUUACUAUGGAAACUAAUCCUUUGAGGGGAUUGUUCGGGGUAUCUUCACCCCGACCAGUAGAGUAAAGAGUUGCUCCUCAACCUACUGAACUUUAUGAAAAUGUUUAUUUUGAGAUUCCUUCGGGUAUGAUAGAGAAACUGCUAGCUAAUCCAUUUGCAGGAGAUGGAACAUUGCAUCCCGAUUUACACCUUAUCUUUGUGGAUGAAGUUUGUGGAUUAUUUAAACUUGCAAGUAUUCCCGAUGAUGUUGUAAAAAGGAAGGUAUUCCCUUUAUCUUUGAAGGGAGAUGCAUUGACAUGGUUUAGGCUAUGUGAUGAUACGGGAUCUUGGAAUUAUAAGCGAUUGUAGUUGGAAUUUCACCAGAAGUUCUACCCUAUGCAUCUCGUUCAUCAUGAUCGUAAUUACAUAUAUAAUUUCUAGCCUCGCGAAGGAGAAAGCAUCGCUCAAGCUUGGGGGAGGCUUAAGUCAAUUUAAUAUUCAUGCCCCAAUCAUGAGCUCUCUCGGGAAAUGAUUAUUCAAAAAUUUUAUGCUCGGCUUUCUCUUGAUAAUUGCAACCUGCUCGAUACUUCCUUUGCUGGUUCUUAUAUGAUGAAGACUAUUGAUUUCAAAUGGGACUUAUUGGAAAGAAUUAAACGCAAAUAUGAAGAUUGGGGUUCCGACGAUGGUAAGGAGUCAGGUAUGACACCUAAGUUCGAUUGUGUUAAAUCUUUUAUGAAUACCGAUGCUUUUCGUGGAUUUAGCGCUAAGUAUGGACUUGACUCUGAGAUAGUAGCUUCUUUCUGUGAAUCUUUUGCUACUCAUGUUGAUCUCCCUAAAGAGAAGUGGUUUAAAUACAAUCCUCCUAUUGAAUUGAAAGUAGUUGCACCCAUUACAGUAGAAGAAAAUACUAUCACUUAUAGUGAUCCUAUUGUUCCUACUACUUAUGUUGAGAAACCACCUUUUCCUGUUAGGAUAAAGGAUCAUGCUAAAACUUCGACAGUUGUUCAUAAAAGUAAUACUAGGACUUACACACCUCCUGAGCAAAUCAAUGUUGAACCUAGUAUUGCUAUGGUUAAAGAUCUCUUGGAUGAUGAUAUAGAUGGGCAUGUUAUUUAUUUCUGCGAUGAAGCUGCUAAUAUUGCAAAACCAGACACUAAGAUACAUAGACCUGUUGUAGGCAUGCCUGUUAUUUCUGUUAAAAUAGGAGAUCAUUGUUACCAUGGGUUAUGUGAUAUGGGUGCUAGUGCUAAUGCAAUACCCUAUGAUUUAUAUAAAGAAAUUAUGCACGACAUUGCACCCGUUGAAUUAGAAGACAUUGAUGUUACUAUUAAGCUUGCUAAUAGGGAUACCAUUAAACCAGUUGGGAUUGUUAGAGAUGUUGAAGUCUUGUGUGGGAAGGUUAAAUACCAUGCUAAUUUUCUUGUUCUUGGUUCUCCACAAGAUGCCUUUUGUGCCAUUAUAUUUGGUAGACCCUUCUAGAACACUGUUAAAGCUAGGAUUGAUUGUAAAAAGGAUGUUGUUAUGAUUGGCUUAGAUGAUAUGACUCAUGAGUUUAAUUUUGCUAAAUUUCGUAGACAACCCCGUGAUAGAGAAUUAUCUAGUAAAGAUGAAAUCAUUGGUCUUGCUUCUAUUGCAGUGCCUCCUACUGAUCCGUUAGAACAAUAUUUGCUAGACCAUGAAAAUGAUAUGUUUAUGAAAGAAAGAAGGGAAAUAGAUGAAGUAUUCCUUAAACAGGAACCUAUUUUGAAACAUAACCUUCCCGUUGAAAUUCUUGGGGAUCCCCCUCCACCCAAGGGUGAUCCAGUGUUCGAACUUAAACCUUUACUUGAUAAUCUUAAGUAUGCUUAUCUUGAUGAAAAGAAAAUAUAUCCUAUUAUUAUUAGUGCUAACCUUUCAGAGCAAGAAGAAGAAAGAUUAUUGAAAACUCUGAAGAAGCAUCGAGCUGCUAUUGGAUAUACUCUGGAUGAUCUUAAGGGCGUUAGUCCCAUGUUAUGUCAACACAAAAUUAAAUUGUAGGACAAUGCCAAACCAGUUAGAGAUCCUCAACGACGACUAAAUCCUAAGAUGAAAGAAGUGGCAAGAAAGGAGAUACUAAAGCUCCUUGAGGCAGGUAUAAUUUAUCCCGUUGAUGAUAGUGAUUGGGUAAGCCCUGUCCAUUGUGUCUCUAAAAAGGGAGGUAUUACUGUUGUUCCUAAUGAUAAAGAUGAAUUGAUCCCGCAGAGAAUUAUUAUAGGUUAUAGGAUGGUAAUUGUUUUUUGUAAAUUAAAUAAAGCUACUAAGAAAGAUCAUUACCCUUUACCUUUUAUUGAUCAAAUGCUAGAAAGACUAUCCAAACACACACACUUUUGCUUUCUAGAUGGUUAUUCUGGUUUUCUCUCAAAUACCUGUGUCAGCAGGAGAUCAAGCAAAAACUACUUUUACUUGCCCUUUCGGUACUUUCGCUUAUAGACAUAUGACUUUUGGUUUAUGUAAUGCACCUGCUACCUUUCAAAGAUGCAUGAUGGCUAUAUUCUCUAAUUUUGUGAAAAGAUUUGCGAGGUAUUCAUGGAUGACUUCUCUGUUUAUGGAUCCUCCUUUGAUAAUUGUUUGAGCAACCUUGAUCGAGUUUUGCAGAGAUGCGAAGACACCAAUCUCGUUCUGAAUUGGGAAAAGUGUCACUUUAUGGUUAAUGAAGGCAUUGUGUUGGGGCACAAGAUCUCCGAGAGAGGUAUUGAAGUUGAUAAAGCCAAAGUUGAUGCUAUUGAAAAGAUGCCACGUACUAAGGACAUAAAAGGUAUAAGAAGUUUCCUCGGUCAUGCUGGUUUUUACAGGAGGUUCAUUAAGGACUUUUCUAAGAUCUCUAGGCCUCUGACUAAUUUAUUGCAACAAGAUAUUCCUUUUGUCUUUGAUGAUGAUUGUGUAGAAGCAUUUGAAAUACUUAAGAAAGCUUUGAUCACCGCACCUGUUGUUCAGCCACCCGAUUGGAAUUUACCUUUUGAAAUUAUGUGUGAUGCUAGUGAUUAUGCUGUAGGUGCUGUUCUAGGGCAAAGAGUCGAUAAGAAAUUGAAUGUUAUCCAGUAUGCUAGUAAUUAAGACUCUUGAUACUGCCCAAAGAAAUUAUGCUACUACUGAAAAAGAAUUCUUAGCAGUUGUGUUUGCAUGCAAUAAGUUUAGACCUUAUAUUGUUGAUUCCAAAGUUACUAUUCACACUGAUCAUGCCGCUAUUAAAUAUCUUAUGGAAAAGAAAGAUGCUAAGCCUAGACUCAUUAGAUGGGUUCUCCUGCUCCAAGAGUUUGAUUUGCAUAUUAUUGAUAGAAAGGGAGCUGAGAACCCCGUUGCAGACAACUUGUCUAGGUUAGAGAAUGUUCUUGAUGACCCACUGCCUAUUGAUGAUAGCUUUCCUGAUGAACAAUUAGCGGUCAUUAAUGCUUCUCGUACUGCUCCAUGGCAUGCUGAUUUUGCUAAUUAUAUUGUUGCUAAAUUUAUACCACCUAGUUUCACAUACCAGCAAAAGAAAAAGUUCUUUUAUGAUUUAAGACAUUACUUUUGGGAUGACCCACACCUUUAUAAAGGAGUAGAUGGUGUUAUUAGAUGUUGUGUACCUGAGCAUGAAUAGGAACAGAUCCUACGCAAGUGUCACUCUGAAUCAUAUGGAGGACACCACACUGGAGAUAGAACUGCACAUAAGGUACUACAAUAUGGUUUUUAUUGGCCUACUCUCUUCAAAGAUGCUCGUAAGUUUGUCUUAUCUUGUGAUGAAUGUCAAAGAAUUGGUAAUAUUAGUAGACGUCAAGAAAUGCCUAUGAAUUAUUCUCUUGUUAUUGAACCAUUUGAUGUUUGGGGCUUUGAUUAUACGGGACCUUUUCCUGCCUCUAAUGGUUAUACACAUAUUUUAGUUGCUGUUGAUUACGUUACUAAGUGGGUAGAAGCUAUUCCAACUAGUAGUGCUGAUCAUAACACUUCUAUUAAAAUGCUUAAAGAAGUUAUUUUUCCAAGGUUUGGAGUCCCUAGAUAUCUUAUGACUAAUGGUGGUUCACAUUUUAUUCAUGGUGCUUUCCGUAAGAUGCUUGCUAAGUAUGAUGUCAAUCAUAUAAUCGCAUCCUCUUAUCAUCUGCAGUCUAGUGGUCAAGUAGAGUUGAGCAAUAGAGAGCUCAAAUUAAUUUUGCAAAAGACUGUUAAUAGAUCUAGAAAGAAUUGGUCCAAAAAACUUGAUGAUGCAUUAUGGGCCUAUAGAACUGCAUAUAAAAAUCCUAUGGGUAUGUCUCCAUAUAAGAUGGUUUAUGGAAAAGCAUGUCAUUUACCUCUUAAACUUGAACAUAAAGCAUAUUGGGCUAUUAAAGAGCUCAAUUAUGACUUCAAACUUGCCGGUGAGAAGAGGUUGUUUGAUAUUAGCUCACUUGAUGAAUGGAGAGCCCAAGCUUAUGAGAAUGCCAAGCUAUUCAAAGAAAAAGUUAAGCGCUAGCAUGAUAAAAGGAUACAAAAGCGUGAGUUUAACGUAGGAGAUUAUGUGUUACUAUUCAACUCCCGUUUAAGAUUUUUUGCAGGAAAGCUUCUCUCUAAAUGGGAAGGUCCCUACGUUAUCGAGGAGGUCUAUGUUCUGGUGCCAUAAAGAUUAACAACUUUGAAGGCACAAGUCCAAGGGUGGUAAACGGUCAAAGAAUUAAACAUUAUAUUUCAGGUAAUCCUAUUAAUGUUGAAACUAAUAUUAUUGAAACCGUAACCCCGGAGGAAUACAUAAGGGACACUUUCCAGAAUGUUCCAUACUCUAAAAAGGAAUAUGUAUGUGGUACGGUAAGUAAACCGACUCCAAAACAACUACAAUGGCAAUAUUUAUCAGUUUUGGAUUAUUUGAGAAUUUUAGGAAGAAAGAAGUACUCUGAAAGGGACACGAGGCCCCCACAAGAGUGGAGGGCGCGCCCACCCUUCCUGGGCACGCCCCCUGUCUCGUGGGCACCUCGUGUGCCUCCCAGACUCCGUUUUCUUGCACUUUACGUAUUUUGGUUGGUAAAAAUUCAUUAUAUAUACUCCCGAAGGUUUUGACCACCGUAUCACGCAAAUAUCCUCUGUUUUCGUUUCGAGCUGUUUCUGUUUUAGUUCUAGAGCACCAUGGCGUCGCCCUCCCUCAACAAUGAAGACAAGGAUGCUUGGCUAUUGAAGAUAGAGCUGAAAAGAGAAGAACCGGAGGAGACCCACAAGGAUGAAGGGACCCAGAAGGCCAUGGAUGUCCAAGCUUCGGCAGUGGAAGAAGACAUCCCUCAAUUUUUACCUAACCUCUUCACUCCAACAGAGAUUUAAGCUUUCAAGAUGAUAGAGUUAGCUCGCAUACAGAACAAGUAUCUCACACAAGAGAAUAUUCUGUUGAAGGAUCAUAUCGCCGGACUCAAGGGCAUUAUUCGCAAGCUGGAGGAGCUUUUACGCUCAAUGUGUGAUUAUCUACCGUCAUCAUCAUCACCUUCACCACCUCCGAGGACAUAAUCACACGGGUAUGGGCACUCCGCCUUGGAAACCGCCAAGCUUGGGGGAGGUGCCCCGGUAUCGUAUCACCAUCACACUCCUACCUUUACCGUUUUUAUUUAGUUCGAUCGUUUUAGUAGUAUCUUGAUCUAGUAGAUUGAAGUUUUGAUAUCAAGUAGUUUUGAGUUUUUCUUAGUAAUCUGUUUUUGUAAUCGUGUCCCUGAGCUAUCUAUAAUAAAGAUUAGUGUUGAGUCAAGGGCUUUGCUUUGUUGCUAUGAUCUUGAGAAAGUAGAAAGAAUUAAAGAGUUCUUAUUGAUCUUAUGGUUAGUGAUAACUUCACAUAUAGAAAGUAUGAGGCAUGAAAAUUGUUGAGAGUUGAUAAACGUAGUUUUGGUCAUCAUUGCAAUUAAUAGUAAGUGAUAAGGAAAGAGAGGUUCACAUAUAAAUACACUAUCUUGGACAUCUUUUAUGAUUGUGAGCACUCAUUAAGUAUGACAUGUUAAAAGAGUUGAUGUUGGACAAGGAAGACAACGUAGUGGUUUAUGUUUUCUCACAUCUUAGUUAAAAUAUAUUGUCAUUGACCUUCCAAACAUGUUGAGCUUGCCUUUCCCCCUCAUGCUAGCCAAACUCCUAGCACCAAGUAGAGAUACUACUUGUGCUUCCAUAUUCCUUUAAACCCAGUUUUGCCAUGAGAGUCCACCAUAUCUACCUAUGGAUUGAGUAAGAUCCUUCAAGUAAGUUGUCAUCGGUGCAAGCAAUAAAAAUUGCACCUUAAAUAUGCAUGACUUAUUAGUGCAGAGAAAAUAAGCUUUAUACGAUCUUGUUAUGGAAGCAAUAAAAGCGACGGAGUGCAUAAUAAAGGUCCAGACACAAGUGGCAAUAUAAAGUGACGUUCUUUCGUACUAAGAUUUUGUGUAUCCAACCCUAAAAGCGCAUGACAACCUCUGCUUCCCUCUGCGAAGGGCCUAUAUUUACUUUAUGUUCUUACUUUAUGAUUUUAUUUUGAACUUGAGUCAAGGUGAUUCUCAUCUUUCCCUUUUUAAUUUUAUCCUUUGGCAAGCUCCUCGUGUUUGAAAGAUCAUGAUACAUAUAUCCAGUUGGAUGUUCGUUAGCAUGGGCUAUUAUUGUUGACAUCACCUAAAGGUGAAUACGUUGGGAGGCAACACAAUAAGCCCCUAUCUUUCUCAGUGUCCGGCUGAAACUCCAUAACCACAAGUAUUGCGUGAGUGUUAGCAAUUGCAGAAGACUAUAUGAUAGUUGAGUAUGUGGACUUGCUGAAAAGCUCUAUUGUUGACUCUUUCUGAUGUUAUGAUAAAUUGCGAUUACUUCAAUGACUGAGAUUAUAGUUUGUUAGUUCACAAUGAAGUUUUUGAACCAUACUUGAUAUUGUGAAUUGAUUGUCACUUGAGCAUAUGAAAUUAUAUAAUGGAAUCUAUAUAUGUUGCUGUUGUAAGAAUGAUCAUGAUGCCCUCAUGUCCGUAUUUUAUUUUUAUCGACACCUCUAUCUCUAAACAUGUGGACAUAUUUUUCGAUAUCGGCUUCCGCUUGAGGACAAGCGAGGCCUAAGCUUGGGGGAGUUGAUACGUCCAUUUUGCAUCAUGCUUUUAUGUCAAUAUUUAUUGCAUUAUGGGCUGUUAUUACACAUUAUAUCUCAAUACUUAUGGCUAUUCUCUCUUAUUUUACAAGGUUUACCAUGCAGAGGGGGAAUGCCGUCAACUGGAAUUCUGGCUGGAAAAGGAGCAAACUUUGGAAACCUAUUCUGCACUGCUCCAAAAGUCCUGAAACUCCACGAAACAUGUUUUUGGAUUUAUUAAGAAUUAUUGAGUGAAAGAAAUACAUCAGGGGGCCCACGCCCUGUCCAGGAGGGUGGGGGUGCCCCCCCUACUGGGCGCCCCCUGUCUCCUGGGCCCCCUGGUGGCUCCCCGAUGUCCAUCUUCCGCUAUAUGAAGGCUUUUACCCUAGAAAAAAUCGUGGGCAAGCUUACGGGACGAAACUCCGCCGCCAUGAGGCGGAACCUUGGUGGAACCAAUCUAGGGCUCUGGUAGAACUGUUCUGCCGGGGACACUUCCCUCCGGGAGGGGGAAAUCAUCACCAACAUCAUCACCAACGAUCCUCUCAUCGGGAGGGGGUUAAUCUCCCUCAACAUUUUCACUAGCACCAUCUCCUCUCAAACCCUAGUUCAUCUCUUGUAUCUAAUCUUGUAUCCAAAACCACAAAUUGGUACCAGUGGGUUGCUAGUAGUGUUGAUUACUCCUUGUAGUUGAUACUUAUUGGUUUACUUGGUGGAAGAUCAUAUCUUCAGAUCCUUAAUGCAUAUUAUUACACCUCUGAUCAUGAACAUGAAUAUGCUUUGUGAGUAGUUACGUUUGUUCCUGAGGACAUGGGUGAAGUCUUGCUAUUAGUAGUCAUGUGAAUUUGGUAUUCGUUCGAUAUUUUGAUGAGAUGUAUGUUGUCUUCUCCUCUAGUGGUGUCAUGUGAAUGUUGACUACAUGACACUUCACCAUUGUUUGGGCCUAGAGGAAUUCAUAGGGAAGUAAUAAGUAGAUGAUGGGUUGCUAGAGUGACAGAAGCUUAAACCCUAGUUUAUGCGUUGCUUCGUUAGGGGCUGAUUUGGAUCCACAUGUUUCAUGCUAUGGUUAGGUUUACCUUAAUACUUUUUUUGUAGUUGACGAUGCUCGCAAUAGGGGUUAAUCAUAAGUGGGAUGCUUGUCCAAGUAAGGGCAGUACCCAAGCACCGGUCCACCCACAUAUCAAAUUAUCAAAGUACCGAACGCGAAUCAUAUGAGCGUGAUGAAACUAGCUUGACGAUAAUUCCCAUGUGUCCUCGGGAGCUCCUUUCUCAUUAUUUGAAAUUGUCCAGGCUUAUCCUUUGCUACAUAAAGGAUUGGGACACCUUUCUAUACUUUAUUUACUUUUUUUUACUUGUUACUCAUUACUAUUUAUGUUAUCACAAAACUAUCUAUCACCUACAAUUUCAGUGCUUGCAGAAAACCUUAUUGAAAACUGCUUAUCAUUUCCUUCUGCUCCUCGUUGGGUUCGACACUCUUACUUAUCAAAAGUACUACGAUAGAUCCCCUACACUUGUGGGUCAUCAGUAUUUUGUGUGAUGAAAAUGAAACAUAGCCUAACUAUAUGAUUUUAUAGGGAUAAACUUUCUUUAGCCAUGUUAUUUUGAGAAGACAUGAUUGCUUUAUUAGUAUGCUUGAAGUAUUACUAUUUCUUAUGUCAAUAUGAACUUUUAUUUUGAAUCAUUUGGAUCUGAACAUUCAUGCCACAAAUAAAGAGAAAUACAUUGAGAAAUAUGCUAGGUAGCAUUCCACAUCAAAAAUUCCGUUUUUAUCAUUUUCCUACUCGAGGACGAGCAGGAAUUAAGCUUGGGGAUGCUUGAUACGUCUCCAACGUAUCUAUAAUUUUUUUAUUGUUCCAUGCUAUUAUAUUACCCGUUUUGGAUGUUGGGCUUUACUUUACACUUUUACAUCAUUUUUGGGACUAACCUACUAACCGGAGGCCCGGCCCGAAUUGCUAUUUUUUUGCCUAAUUCAGUGUUUUGCAGAAAAUGAAUAUCAAACGGAGUCCAAACGGAAUGAAACCUUCGAGAGCGACCUUUUUAGAACAAAUGUGAUCCAGAUGACUUGGAGUGGAAGUCAAGAAACAAGCGAGGCGGCUACGAGGGUGCCCGAUGCGCCCCCUACAGGUGGGCGUGCCCCCCACCCUCGUGGGCCCCUCAAGCAUCCACCGACGUACUCCUUCCUCCUACAUAUACCCAUGUACCCCGAAACAAUUAGAGGAAACCAUGAAAACCUAUUUCUAGCACCGUAACCUUUUGUAUCCGCGGGAUCCCAUCUUGGAGCCGUCGCCGGCGCUCCACCGGAGGGGGAAUCCACCACGGAUGGCCUCUACAUCAACUCCAAGGCCUGUUCGAUGAGUUGUGAGUAGUUUACGACAGACCUUCGGGUCUAUAGUUAUUAUCUAGAUGGCUUCUUCUCUCUCUUUGAUUCUCAAUACAAAUUUCUCCUUCCUCUUCUUGGAGUUCUAUUCGAUGUAACUCUUUUUGUGGUGUGUUUGUCGAGAUUCGAUGAAUUGUGGGUUUAUGAUCAAGUUUAUAUAUGAGAAAUAUUUGAAUCUCCUCUGAAUUCUUUUAUGUGUGAUUAAGUUAUCUUUGCAAGUCUCUUCGAAUUAUCAGUUUGGUUUGGCCUACUAGAAUUAUCUUUCUUGCAAUGGGAGAAGUGCUUAGCUUUGGGUUCAAUCUUGCGGUGUCCUUUCCCAGUGACAGCAGGGGCAGCAAGGCACGUAUUGUAUUGUUGCCAUCGAGGAUAAAAGAUGGGGUUUAUAUCAUAUCGCAUGAGUUUAUCCCUCUACAUCAUGUCAUCUUUCUUAAUGCGUUACUGUGUUCUUCAUGAACUUAAUACUCUAGAUGCAUGCUGGAUAGCGGUCGAUGUGUGGAGUAAUAGUAGUAGAUGCAGGCAGGAGUCGGUCUACUUGUCACGGACGUGAUGCCUAUAUACAUGAUCAUGCCUCGAUAAUCUCAUAAUUAUUCUCUUUUCUAUCAAUUGCUCGACAAUAAUUUGUUCACCCACCGUAAUAAUUAUGCCAUCUUGAGAGAAGCCACUAGUGAAACCUAUGGCCCCUGGGUCUAUCUCUUAUCAUAUAAGCUUUCAAUCUACUUUUAUUUGCAUCUUUACUUUUCCAAUCUAUAUCAUAAAAUACCAAAAACAUAUUUAUCUUGUCAGAUUAUCUCUAUUAGAUCUCACUUUCGCAAGUGGCCGUGAAGGGAUUGCCAACCCCCUUAUUGCGUUGGUUGCGCGUUCUUGUUUUGUUUGUGUAGGUGCGCGGGACUUGUGAGGAGCCUCCUACUGGAUUGAUACCUUGGUUCUCAAAAACUGAGGGAAAUACUUAUGCUACUGUGCUGCAUGACCCUUUCCUCUUCAAGGAAAACCAACGCAAGCUCAAGACGUAGCAUACACCAACAAAUCAGCCAUAUAUAGAAGAAAAAACCAAAUUCACCAAGUCAGGCCUAUUGGUGGGAUACCAAACUUCAUGAUCGAUAUGCACUUAAGGCCCUUGUCUAAAACAAGAAGGGGAAAAAGCAGGCAACUCCCCUGCUUGUUUGUAGGCAACUCUGAUUAUUUCUCAAAAAAACAACUCUGAUUUUGAUUGCAGGCAAGUCUAAAAUUAAAAUACUAUAGACUUGAUCUAUUAGCUAUUUAGGACAAAAGAAUGUAGACUUGAUCUAUUAGUUAUUUUGAUUAUAGGCAACAUAUUCAAUAGUAGUUUCAUUUUAUAAGUCAUUGAUCUCGGCAUUGAUGAAUUUUAUGAGUACACAAUCACUAAAGCAAAAAAAUCUGAACCUGUCAGGCAACUAAGUAACCGAAACAAUGUGUACAAAACUUUAGGAUUGUUCAUUAUGUGAGUUAUUUUGAGGCAACUACCUACAAUGUGUGGGCAAGUUUUGGCAAAAACUCACGCAACUAAGUAACAAAUGACACUGGAUUUUGCAAUCGUUUCCUGGCAUUCCUGUGACAUAAAUCUUACCAAGACAUUGCUGUGAUUUUAUCCCCUUUCCCCCAUAAAUUAUCCUGUAAGCUCUUUCUAAUACCGAGAUGGUCAGAUUCCCAGAUUAUUCAAGAAAAAGAGAGGAUCCUCUAACUAACCAUGCCACUGCGCCAGUUACUACGAGAAACCUAGCAUUCCUUUUCUAAAAUUAAAAGGAGAGCAAAGGUUACUACUAUUACCAUGUCACAUAGCUUCCAUAUGAGUUCCAGUGACACGCGAGGAAGCCGGGGUACUAUGAAGACAAGGGGGUCGCCAAGCUAGCAGAGAAUAUGAGUUGCACGAGCGCGAUAGCCUCCGGCGGCCAGCCACGGCUUGACCUCGCGCCCCCUAAAAUCAGCAUGCCCCCACACCCCCUGUGAGGCCAAUAUGACCUCGAUUCGAGUGGAAUAAAACACAUGUUUGCGGAAUCAAUGAUGCUUACUAGUGAUUUGAGGCCUGAUGACCCACAAGUAUAGGGGAUCACAACAGUUUUCGAGGGUAGAUUAUUCAACCCAAAUUUGUUGAUUCGACACAAGGGAAGCCAAAGAAUAUUCUUAAGUAUUAGUAGUUGAGUUGUCAAUUCAACCACACCUUGAUAACUUAGUAUCUGUAGCAAAGUAUUUAGUAGCAAGUAGUUUGAUAGUAAUGGUAACAGUGGCAAAGGUAAUAGUAGCAGUUUUGUAGUAAUUGUAAAAGUAGCAACGGUAAAGUAAAUAAGCAAAGCACAAUAUGUGAAAAGCUCGUAGGCAUUGGAUAAGUGAUGGAUAAUUAUGUCGGAUGUGGUUCUUCAUGUAAUAGUUAUAACAUAGUGUGACACAGAACUAGCUCCAGUUCAUCAAUGUAAUGUAUGCAUGUAUUCCGAAUAUGGUCAUACAUGCUUAUGGAAAAGAACUUGCAUGACAUAUUUUGUCUUACCAAUUGUUGCGGAAAUCAUUAACUGGUAGCUGCUCGGUUGGCUGGCGAGUAGGGGAUUAAUAGGCUAAUCGGCAAGUUAAUCGGCCAUUUAAUCAAUUAAUCGGACGAUUUAUCGGUUACUCUGUGACCCUAGGAGUAGGGAUUAAUCGGCAAGUUAACUGGUUAAUCGGAUGAAUUCUUGAACAUGGGUUUUACCCUCCCGUGGCAGCGGGGUCCUAGUGGGAACUAAGGGAUAUUAAGGCCUCCUUUUAAUAGAGUACCGGACCAAAGCAUUAACACAUAGUGAAUACAUGAACUCCUCAAACUACGGUCAUCACCGAGAAGUAUCCCGAUUAUUGUCACUUCGGGGUUGUCAGAUCAUAACACAUAAUAGGUGACUAUAGACUUGCAAGAUAGGAUCAAGAACUCACAUAUAUUCAUGAAAACAUAAUAGGUUUAGAUAUGAAAUCAUGGCACUCGGGCCCUAGUGACAAGCAUUAAGCAUAGCAAAGUCAUAGCAACAUCAAUCUCAGAACAUAGUGGAUACUAGGGAUCAAACCCUAACAAAACUAACUUGAUUACAUGGUAAAUCUCAUCCAACCCAUCACCGUCGAGCAAGCCUAUGAUGGAAUUACUCACGCACAGCGGUGAGCAUCAUGAAAUUGGUGAUGGAGGAUGGUUGAUGAUGAUGACGGUGAUGAAUCCCCCUCUCCGGAGCCCCGAACGGACUCCAGAUCAGCCCUCCUGAGAGAGAUUAGGGCUUGGUGGCGGCUCUGUACCGUAAAACGCGAUGAAUCUUUCUCUCUGAUUUUUUUCUCGGUGAAUGCAAAUAUAUAGAGUUGGAGUUGAGGUCGGUGGACGCCCAGGGGGCCCAUGAGGCAGGGGGCGCGUCCCCACCCUCAUGGACAGGGUGUGGGCCCCCUGACGCUAUUUCUUUCGCCAGUAUUUUUUAUAUUUUCUGAAAAUUUGCUCUGUGGAUUUUGAGGUCAUUCUGAGAACUUUUAUUUCUGCACAAAAAUAACACCAUGGCAGUUCUGCUGAAAACAACAUCAGUCUGGGUUAGUUCUAUUCAAAUCAUGCAAGUUAGAGUCCAAAACAAGGGCAGAAGUGUUUGGAAAAGUAGACACGACAGAGACGUAUCAACUCCCCCAAGCUUAAACCUUUGCUUGUCCUCAAGCAAUUCAGUUGAUAAAUUGAAAGUGAUAAAGAAAAACUUUUACAAACUCUAUUUGCUCUUGUUGUUGUAAAUAUGUAAAGCCAACAUUCAAGUUUUCAGCAAAGAUUAUGAACUAACCAUAUUCACAAUAACACUUAGGUCUCAAGUUUACUCAUAUCAAUGGCAUAAUCAACUAGCGAGCAAUAAUAAUAAAUCUCGGAUGACAACACUUUCGCAAAACAAUCAUAAUAUGAUAUAACAAGAUGGUAUCUCGCUAGCCCUUUUUGAGACCGCAAAACAUAAAUGGAGAGCACCUUUAAAGAUCAAGGACUGACUAAACAUUGUAAUUCAUGGUAAAAGAGAUCCAGUCAAGUCAUAGCCAAUAUAAACUAAUAGUAACACAUGCAAAUGACAGUGUGCUCUCCAGCGGGUGAUUUUUAAUAAGAGGGUGAUGACUCAACAUAAAAGUAAAUAGAUAGGCCCUUCGCAAAGGGAAGCAGGGAUUUAUAGAGGUGCCAGAGCUUGAUUUUUAAAUAGAGAGAUAAAUAACAUUUUGAGCGGUAUACUUUCACUAUGAACACAACAACUAUGAGAUAUCGAUAUCUUCCAUGCUACACACAUUAAAGGCGGUUCCCAAACAGAAUGGUAAAGUUUAUACUCCCCCUCCACCAACAAUCAUCAAUCCAUGGCUUGCCUGAAACAACGGGUGCCUCCAACUAACAACAAUCUUGGGGGAGUUUUGUUUAAUUAUUUUGAUUUGAUUUGAUCUUUGCAUCAUGGGACUGGGCAUCCCGGUUUCCAGCCAUUUUCUCGUGAAUGAGGAGCGGAGUCCACUCCUCUUGAGAAUAACCCGCCUAGCAUGGAAGAUACAGAUAUCCCUAGUUGAUGCAUGAGUUGCUCGAGCAUACAAAACAUAAUUUCAUUUGAAGGUUUGGAGUUUGGCACAUACAAAUUUACUUGGAACGGCAGGUAAAUACCGCAUAUAGGAAGGUAUGGUGGACUCAUAUGGAAUAACUUUGGAGUUUUAUGGAGUUUGGAUGCACAAGCAGUAUUCCCGCUUAGUACAGGUGAAGGAUAGCAAAAGACUGUGAAGCGACCAACUGAGAGAGCGACAACAUUCAUGAACAUGCUUUAAAAUUAAUCAACAUCGAGUGCAAUCAUGAGUAGGAUAUAAUCCACCAUGAACAUAAAUAUCGUGACGGCUAUGUUGAUUUUGUUUCAACUACAUGCGUGAACAUGUGCCAAGUCGAGUCACUCAAUUCAUUUAAAGGAGGAUACCACCCUAUCAUACCACAUCACAACCAUUUUAAUAGCAUGUUGGCAUGCAAGGUAAACCAUUAUAAGCUCCUAGCUAAUUAAGCAUGGCAUAAGCAACUAUAAUCUCUAAUUUUCAUUGCAAACAUGUUUAUUUAAUAGGCUGAAUCAGGAACGAUGAACUCAUCAUAUUUACAAAAACAAGUGAGGUCGAGUUCAUACGAGCUUCUCUCAUCUCAGCCAGUCCAUCAUAUAUCGUCCUUAUUGCCUUUCACUUGCACGACCGAACGGUGUAUAUAAUAGUAAUAGUGCACGUGCGUUGGACUAAGAUGGAAUCUGCAAGCAUUCAAUUCAAGGGAGAAGACAAGAUACUAUUGGCUCUUGGUUAAAUCAAUCAUGCAUAUUAUAGCCACUAAACAUUUUCAUUAAGGUUUCUCCUCUCAACCCCCAAAGGAAAGAGAAGAAAUAAAACUAUUUACACGGGAAAGCUCCCAACAAGCAAAAGAAGAACGAGAAAUCUUUUUGGGUUUUCUUUUAAUUACUACUAGAAGCAUGGAAAUUAAGCUAACUAAUUUUUUUGGUUUUUCUUUAGGUUUAUUAAACAAACAAGAAGAAAACUAGAACAUAAAUUAAACUAGCAUGGAUAGUUUAAUGAAAAAGUAUGAGCACCGACAACUAGAAUGAGUGUGUGAACAUGAACGUAAUGUCGGUGAGAAAUAUGUACUCCCCCAAGCUUAGCCUUUUGGCCUAAGUUGGUAUAUGGCCAUGGAUAGCUGCUACUCUCCCCGGUGUACUGAGGAGUGUCAUCGUACUGCCACUGGCUGGCGAUCUCCUCCGGAUCCCACUGAUAAGAUGAUGGACGAUAAGGGUCCAGUGGUGGUUCCGGCUCAGGCUCUGGAGCUGAUGUCUGACCUCGGUGUGCGUAAACGGCCGCCGGCAAGACGAGGUAGUGGCACACAGUUAAAUCAAACAAAGAAGGCGUAAGCAAGAUAAUAAUCUCAUUAUGUUUCUUAUUAAAUCUCGGGUUAUAUAGAAGCACUUAUCAUCAUUGUUAACAAUAAACUCAUGUGCUACCAUGCUCUUGUAAUCUAAAAAGGUAGGGGGCAGCAGUUUUUCCUCUUCCUCAUAAUGCCUAAUAGGUAUCUCGAAGUGUUUAGCAAGGCGUGAGGCAUAGAUACCUCCAAAGAUAGGACCCUUCGUACGGUUCAAGCUUAAUCAUUUAGCAAUAACAUCACCCAUACUAAAAGAGUUAUCACAAAAUAAGGCAUGGAACAAAAUAAUAAUAUCAGGAACACUGAGGUUUCCACAGUUUCCAUGGCCAAUUAAGCAUCGACUAGCAAAUAUGGCAAAGUAACGUAAAACAGGAAAAUGUAUGCUAGUUAUUCUUGCAUCAGAAACCUUCCUCGAUUCCCCUAUAGUAAUAGUAUUAAUAAAACCAUCCACAUCUUUAUGAUGUGGUUCAUCUAAGCUGCCCUCGAAGGGUAUUCUGCAAACCGCGUAAAAAUUACGUAAUGACAUCUCCCUAGCCUCAUCAUAUAAAUGAAAAGCUACUGAAGGAGGUGAAUUCUUAGGAUAAUAGUAGAAGUUUUGCAUGAAAGUAUUGGUGAGUAAGAGACACUGUUCGAUCCAGUCGUGGAGAAAGUCGGUGAGGCCCGCAUUAUCAGCCAAAGAAUAAAAGUCUUCAUAAAUCACGGCUGCUCUCAAGAAAUUAUCACAAGGCCACUCACACGGCCUUACUUCCGCUAUGCGAGGAAGAUUAUACUUGGCCUUUUCUUUCUCCUUAGCUUGUUUAUCCUUAGAGCCUUAGCUAGAAGAGCCCCUCAAAAAUAUCUUUAUUAUUUUCUGCAAUUCCUGAAAUUUUUAGUAACUCAAAAUAAAAGUGAAUCAAAAUCAACAAGAUUGAUAGCAACUACUCCCACAAGUGCCUAGAGCCUAUAUCAUGCAUUAGAAUUACUUGGGACCUCAUAAAUUUGACAUGCAAGCUCAAGAACAGGGUCACCUAAGCAGCCAAAUUUUUUGCAAUGAAUAAAGCACUAGAACAAAAACUAAUUGGACCAUUGGAGGAGUCACAUACCAAAGAACAAUCUCCCAAAGCAGUUUUGUGAAUGGGGCUUUGAGCAAGGAGAUCGUAAAUUGCAGCAAAACGAGCUAGAACUCGUGCUUGAGCUAGAUGGGGAUUUGUUUGGAGGAAGAUGAAGUGUGUGGGUGAAGGAAUAAGUGGAGGGGGCCACCAUGGGCCCACGAGUCAGGGGGCGUGCCCUGGACCCUCGUGGCCAGGUGCUUGCCCCCCUACUGUGUUCUCGGUGCCUAAAAUCCUCAAAUAUUCCAUAAAAAAUCAUACUAAAUUGGUAGGGAAUUUGGAGAACUUUUAUUUUCCAAAUAUUUUUAUUGCAUGGAUAAUUCAGAAAACAUACAGAUAAUACUAUUUUUAGUUUAUUUAUUCUAAUUAACAAAAAGUAAAAGGAGGGUACAGAAGGUUGUGCCUUCUAGUUUCAUCCAUCUCAUGAUCAUCAAAAGGAAUCCACUAACAAGGUCGGUCAAGUCUUGUUAACAAACACAUUCCGAAUAGCAUGGAACCGGAGAAAUUCGAAUAACACUAGGUUACCUCAACGGGGAUAUGCACAUCCCCAAUAAUAAGAAUAUCAUAUUUUUUCUUGACAGUAGGAAGAGGAAAUUCAAAACCUCCAAUAAUGAUAGUUGGAAUCUUUGGGAAUUUCUGGCUCCUUGACAGGGGAGGGGGCGCGCCCCCACCCUCAUGGACAGGGUGUGGGCCCCUUGACGCUAUUUCUUUCGCCAGUAUUUUUUAUAUUUUCUGAAAAGUUGCUCCGUGGAUUUUCAGGUCAUUCCGAGAACUUUUAUUUCUGCACAAAAAUAACACCAUGGUAGUUCUGCUGAAACCAGCGUCAAUCCGGGUUAGUUCCAUUCAAAUCAUGCAAGUUAGAGUCCAAAAUAAGGUCAAAAGUGUUUGGAAAAGUAGAUACGAUAGAGACGUAUCAAGGCCCGAUUCCUCGACCGCUGAAGGUGGCACUUCUGGCUCUCACUCUUCGCCGCUAGGAGUCGAGCUACACAGACGCGCGGUGUCCCUCCCAUUCAAACCCUCGCUUCAUGGACGCGGCGGCAGAGAAGCGGUGACCCCGGACGCCACCCUUCUGCCUCCGCCUGGUGGUCACCGCACGCGGAGCUCAGGCCCCUCUGUCCUGGGUCACAGAUUGGGUUGGGUUCUCUCCUCCCGCUUCUACAACGCCUUCCCAAUCUCCGUCGGACCUCCUGCAGCGCGCCUCGAAAUGAUGAAGCGGCGGUGGAUUUGGUAGAGGGGAUGAGGGGACUGCAGUGGUGGAUUUGGGAAAGGGUAAAGCGGAGUGGAGAGAGGCUGGGGGUUGUGGUGGGCCCCUGCGGCAGGGGAGACAAUCUCUUCAUGUGAACCACGUCUACGCCCUGACCGUGGAACAGCUGGAGGUCUUGUUUUCGAUCUGACGGUCGCGGAGGGUGUGUGCUCGAGACAGCUAAAAAGUGCAGCUACACUUUUUAGCAUUUUGACGCGACUAGCCAACAACCGUUGGCUGGCUAGCGGUCCAGAGCACACACCCUAAUAUUGGUAGUUGACCUCUCCCAGAUCCAGCUGGCAAACCCAAAAAGGAAAGAAAUGGUCCCCUCACGCACAUGGUCCCCAGGGGCGAGUCUGUCACAAUCGUAACUUCUGGUCCCCCUACUGGCAUUAGCAUUAGCGUCACACCGACACACCAAAUCCACCUUCCCCUUCCCAGUUGUAGACCCCCAAACCUCCCCCUUGACCUCCCCUUCUCCAUUUGUCCUCUCUUCCAUUGCCACAAUUGUUGCCCCCGUUUUGGUGGCAAUGGACCUGAGAGGUGAGCUUCUAUCUUAUUAUGGCCUCUCAGACGCCUUCUCUUUUACAAAAGCCUAUGGAACAAAGGGUUUAUCAAUUAUAGAAUAUACAACAACAUGGCAGUUAAUGCUUGUGAAAUUGCAAAAAAGAACUACUCAGACAUUAUACAUGCAAAAUAAUCUGUUUUUAUGGGCAAGUUGGUAUGAUGUGCAGGCUCAAUUGAUUUAUGGUUGAGCACCUCAAUGUCAAACCAGCAAAUCCUAACCGUUAAAGUAGUUUAGGCAGCAGCAGGCGACCGUUAGAUGAUGGCAUGGUACUAUCUCAUUGUAGCUGUUUUCAGGGGAACUAUCUCUUUGAAGCUUAUCUUAUCACCAUGGCACCACUAGCAAUCGUUUUCUACCUGUGCCAUAAGGGAUAUUACAUCGGCAGAAUUUUUCAUUAGGAUUUUUCUUUCAUUUCUUUUCACAAGUAAAUCAUUGUUGGCCCCGGCCUUUACUUUUUCAUGUACUUGAUGUUCUGAUCUUGUAAAUCUCAGCCCAUUGUUGUCGUCCCCUGAUCCGUGAACAGAUCAGCAAUUGGUUGAGAUGAAUUACCCGUCGCUUUUGCUAACAUCUUCUCAUGUGAUUUUGUUUCUCUGGUGUUUCAGAAGAAAACGCGGUUCGUGGCCUUGUCGGAUGAGAUCAUAGCAUGAUGACUUUCCCCCCACCUGAAGCGAGAGAGGUUAUUGGAGAUGAGAGGGCAACGUGCUGGUUUCACAAGUCAUUUUCUUGCAAGUUAUAGAUCGAUGGACCAUAGAUUGCCGGAGUUGGAGAUGAGAGGCCGCCGACGGUUUCAUGCCUCGCGCCUCGACCGCUUCUUCUUCAUACGGCAUGGAGCGUCCUUUUCCUCUAUGUUUGUUUAUCUUUUCUCGCAGCUAAAUUAGCCUCAACAUGGGAUAACAUUGCUGUGAAUUGUGGUGCUCUUUGUCGUUAGCUUAGGGGAGAUGUAAUGGACUGGACCUUUACGUAUAAAUGUAGGAGCACAUAUGAUCCUUCCUGUGCGUGACGUUGGAGAACAGACCCGCUCUGCAUUGUUGACAUCAUCGGGUCGCCUUCCAACCUUGCUGCAUUGGGCUUUCGCAUGUCGCGUGCUAUCCGGUCAUGUUUUCCUUUUUGUAAAUAUAUACUUGGUUCAAGACGAAUAAUAAUGGAUGUAAUGUAAGUGAAUUGUUUGAUU